CUUAUGAGAUAAAAAAUUGAUCUUUUCUUUUGGAAUCGUUUCCUGAGAAUUGAUUGUCAUGCAAUUGCUAUGUAAUUGUUCGGACAUAUCAAGACUGGUUCUUUUUUCUUUUCUUUUUUUUUUAAAGUUAAAAGGUAGCACAAAUUGCGUUAUUUGAGAUGAUAAAUUUGAUGGUACCGUCGAGAAGUUCAAAGCUGUAUGGUGAUGAAUUUUGCCAUUUAGGUUCCUUGCAUAUUCAGAUGGCCUCUGUCACUAUCUUAGAUAACCUUCUGCUGGCUAUUGUGAUCAUUAAUGGUGAAAAUUAGCCUUUAAAUCGUGGCAUUUUUUUAAUUUUUUUUUGAAAAGCAUACAGCCCAAGUGACUGAUGGUUAAUUUGAGGGAAAAAUCCGUGCUUGUGAAGCUUGGUUGAUGAUGGGUGGCAUUGCCUCAAGGGUCAUUCUUUGAUGUAAAACAUGCCUCAAGGGUGACUUGGGAGACAAUAUGAAGAAAGGCAUACACAUCAGAUUUAUAAGUUCUUUUACAUGCAUGUCUUUUUCCCUACUAUACAUCCUAACAGGCAUACACAAUAUUAUAUAUUUAGUUAAGAUAACAAAGAGGGAUAGGUUUCAAAAUUUAUUUUUGCAUGUUCCUGUGGUGGGUGGAUUGAACAUGCAAACUUUGCCAUGCUAGAAUGUAGCUUUAUAUAAUGGUUGCACCAAGAUGAUAAAUAACCAAAGAAGGCUACUUUUUAGUAGAUCUGCUGAAAGAUGUAUACAAAUUUGGAACAUGUACUGUCAGCUCACCAAAGCCUGGUAAGUCACAGGUCCAAACACCAUGCUCAUUUUUUUCCAAAUAAUUCUAUUCUCUGAAGGACACUCUUGAAGCCUACCCUUACUAUUUUAGGCUCCUAUCUUUCCUCAUCAUGAGUCUUCACACCUCCCUGACAUCCAUCUCUAAAGUUGUCUUGAAAAGAAUAUAAAUGAUAGUCACGGGAUUGGCAGAUUUCGCAUUUUGAUAUGAAAACAAUUUAUUGUUUCUUCAAUAUAUCGUCUCUUUUUCUUUUACAUUCUUCACAUGAGUAACUAAUAUAAGCUGACCUUUCUUACUUUUCUUCCUUGUAGGGUUUCUAUCAUAUUGAGUUUGUAUAUCUUUAGACUGCAAAAAAAUGAGUAGUUCAUUUAAUGGGCAAAUUUUGGUGGAGAAGCUUGCCAAGCUUAAUAAUUCGCAGCAGAGCAUAGAAAGUAUCCUUCCCACAAUCCCAUUAUGUAGGGAGUAAAUGGAUAGUUCUUUUUUUAAUAAAUGUAUGACUGAGAAUGUUAAUGGUUCACAUUUAAUUAAGGCUAUUUAAUUAGCCACUUAAUGCUUUCUUAUGAAGUCUGGAACGUGUAAGGAUAAUUACUUACGUUUUUAUCAUUUUUUUUUAAAUUUUCAAAUUAAUUGAUAGUUUGGUACAACCAAAAUCUUAAAAUACACUAGCUAUUGUUUCUACGCUAUUGUUUUACUUGAGUCAUCUUUUAAUGAACCAAGGUAGUACCUUCUUCCUUGUGACUAAAUUCUAUAUCGUUUAUUUAUUUUCUCCAUUAUGUCUAUCCUUGAUUCCAAUAUGAAUCUUCCUUUUCGUUAACCCCCCCCCCCCCCCCCCGGGGUCCCAAUGAAAAAAAGGAAAAAGAAAAAAGAGACUACAGAUAAGAUUUCUUCCACUUGCAAUAUAUUGCAAGAUCUCUUCCCUAGAAUGAAUUCUAUAAGUCUCUAGAAUUUUCUAAAACUUGAUUUAGUGACAUUACCAAUAAGCCAAUCAAACCCUGAUUCUUUUUUUCAUGACCCACACCUCUUAUAAAAACCAAAAACAAUUUCUUUGCAUCUUAUAACUUGGUAAAUAUGAAAAGGUGCUGGCCCUUUUUGUGGAACGAGAUUGCAAGGUGCAUUUUUCCUUUCUCUUAAGCUUGGGGUCCUCCAAUGCACAUGUUAGCUAUCAAGUGUUGUUUUAUGACUACACCAUAGACACUUCACAUGUUAAGUGCAAUCCAAGUUUCCACUUCUAUGUAUCUGUGACAAUUCUUUAAGCAUGCUUUUUUUCAUUGUAGAAAACAAACUUUAAUUUAGGUCCCUUUGAAAUUCUUAUAUCCUUCUUUGGAUUUUGAACCCUUAUUCUUUGGCAACACAACAAUCUUUUGUCUGAAAAGUUUAAGCUGAUUUUGAAGUGACCAUCUUACUCGAACGAUAGGAAUGAUUCUUUCCUCAUCAAUCUUCUUAAGCAAGAGGAUUCCAAUAAUAUCUUCUACUUGGAUUUGGUAAAAUAACUAAGCAAAUGAUUCAGUUCUGAAUCUGAAUAAGCAAGGCAAAAAUAUUUAAUGGUUGAUUAUGUGCUUAUGUAUCCUUUGAACAAUAAUCUUGCCAACUAAUGCUACUUACUAAGGUUCUGAAACAUGCUGUGUUAUGUGAGCAAAUGGGAUAUUGCAUAAUGCAUAUGAGUUAUGUACGUGCAUAUGAGGACACAAAUGCUGUUUGCAUUUCAGAAUUAUUUUUUAAAACAAAAUACAUAAAGGGGAUAAGUGGAUAACAUUAAGUUUUAGAAUUAGAAAAAGUAAAAAAUUAUUAAAAAUAAGAAGAAAAAAAAAUGAGAUGCAGAGGGAGAGGGGGGAGGGAGAUGGGACUGAGGGGAGGAAGUGAGCUAGGGAGUGCAGAGGAAGAGGGCUAGGGAGUGCAGAGGAAGUGUGCUAGGGAAUGCACAGGAGGAAGAGGAGAAAGAGAAGGUGAAACAGAGGAAGAAGAUAGAGGGAAAACUAGAAGAAGAGGGGUUGCGGGAAUAGAGUAGGGGCUGUUUGGUCUGCAUUUAGAAUGCUGCCACCUACCAUUUUGAACUUUUGAGCUCAUCCUUACUAGUCUUGCACGAAUUUCUCUAGAAUGUUUUGCAAACCUUUCUUGGCUUAUUGGAUGGAAUGGUAGCUUACAACCAUACUUCUCUUUGACAAUCUUUUAACUUUCAGUAACUUCCCUGCAUACUCCAUCAGCAGUACUCCACCAUUCUUUUCUUGGGAGCUGUCUACCGUGUUCUCCAACUUCCAGUUUACUGUUUUAGGGAGUUGUCCUGCCAAUUUUUAAGCUCUAACAUUUUGCUGUCUUCUGGGCAUACUAGUUAGUAUUCUUCAUUGAAAGUUUUCUAUAUGGUUAUUCAAAAUUAUGGUAAUGAGUGUUGGGCCCUAACAUAGUAAAUAGGAGAGUUGCAUAAUAAACUUGAAAAAGCAGCAAAUAGAAAUUCCACUACCAAGGGAUCUACUACCAAAAUAUUAUUUACUAUGUGCUAUUAUUUGUGAUGCGUUAACAAGAAAUUAUUAGAAAUUAAAUUUGGCUUCUUUUGUUGCUAAGGCAAGAGGAAAGAGAAUCCAAACAUAAAAUUUUGAAAAGUAAAAAAAUCUGAAAAAUAGAAAUUCGGGAUUCUAAAAGAGAGUCUUCGAUUUCAAAUCCCCACACUCACAUCUUGAUAACUCCCUUCCUCCCUCCCUCUUGGAUGUUUUCUUUGUUGCUCUCCUCAUGUGCAUUGCACAUUCCUUUUGCUUGCACAGAAAUUACUUAUUGAACUUGGCUAAGUACCACCUAAUGGGUCUUCAGGCGAUGCCAGAUAGCUAAUGAAUCCAAUCUUCUGAGAAUUACUUUUCUAUAGUAAGUUCAAGGACUUGUAUGAUACCACCACAUAUGAUGCUUUUGUAGUCCCAUGUAUAUUUAGUGUAUUAUUAAAAAACUUGGUACUAUCCUUUAUUUGAGGUGUUUUUCCUUUAAACUUGUUGAACUCUCUGCAUAUAUGGCAUUAGUAAAUUAUGUAAUAUAACUUCAUCUUACAUUCCUUUUGAAAAGAUUUUUAAGUUUUUGGUGAAAUUCCUCAUUAUUAUGAACCUGCUUCUCUUUUCAGGAAGGGUCGUUUAAAAGUUAACAUAAACUAGACCAUUUCUGCUCUAAAGCAAGCACAUAAGCACCCUUUUUUCUUUCUUUCUAUUUCUUUUUAAUAUACACAUGGUUUUGGUGAGAUUACUUCUUUGUACUUUUGAGUUCCAUCAAUUAGAAAAGAAUGAUCACUAGCACUUUAUACAUUUACUGAUCUUGAAGUGCCAUACUUAACACAAAUAAGCUUUAUCACAUUGGUGUAUCUUCCAUAGAAAUAAUGCGCGGCAAGUUGUGGAAACAUGGGAUCGACAAUUUCGUUGUGCUCCAAGGGAUCAGCGAGUAUCUUUUCUAUAUCUUGCCAAUGAUAUUUUGCAGAACAGUAGGCGAAGGGGUCUGGAGUUUAUUAAUGAAUUCUGGAGGGUUCUUCCUGGUGCGCUUAAUGAUGUACUUGAGCAUGGGGGAGAGUUUGGGAGAAACACUGUUCUGAGACUGGUAUGUGGGUCAUGUUGUUGCUCCUGUUUAUGACAUGGUUAAUUUUUCUAUCCAUACUCGGUAGUAAUAUGCAUUUCCAAACCUACUUAUUGACAGAACUAUCAGUUAAAAUUAUUAUAAGAUUCACAAAGUAGUUGCUCGAUAUGACUUUCUUAUGCACAGAUACAUCCUUCUCCCCUACCGCCGCGGCUGAAAUAAUAUGGUUUCCCAAUCCCUUCUUUCAUGCUAGGUUUCUUGAAUGUCUUUUAACUGUGCACGUGUAUCAAAUGCAUAAUUAUGAAAUUUAGACGUCUAAACUCAUGCAUGUACAUGUAGGAUAUGCAUUACCACCCCAAACCCAUAUUUGAUAAGGCUAUGCUGCAUUUCUCUUAGUUUCUAACAAAAUUUGCCUCAGAAAUUUAUAUUUACACGCAUAUGAAUGUGCAUGCCAAUUUUAUUGCUUGUAUUUUAUGUCAUCAUGCUUGUGUAGUUUUAGCAAGAUUAGCAAUAAAUCAAACUGUGGAAGAGGAAUUUUACACUUCGCAACCUUAUAUAGAGGAACCUCACUACUUGAGAGGAAUCUCCCUUUUGUUUAGGAUUUCUUUUGAGUGAAGGAUUUUUAGAAUAACUUGUAUUUCACCAUCCCUAUUCUCCACACUGAGGAUGCAUUUGUCAAAAUAUCAAACUUGUACCCUGACUUCUGAAAUUUUGAAGUACAGAUAUUAUACUCCGCUGACAGAAUGUUUAUCUUGUAUGACAUUUCACUGGUGCUAUUGUAAUGCGCGAAUGUAUUUAAGUAUGAUGUUUACUGCUAGAGCCUGCUGUUUGCAGGCAAAACGUUAAGAGAGGGAUAUAAGGUGGGUGGUGCAUUGAAGUUGGGAUGGAAGAAAAGGGAAUUGAGGCUUACUAAUGAUGUGGUGAGGUUAAUGAGUGAUGAGGUUUAUGGGGGACGUGUUGUUUAGUGAUGCUCUUUGACGAUCCAUAAAAGGGAUAAAAAAGAAAACUUUUGGCUUUGGUAUGGGGGAUGUGUUGUUUAAUGAGUGAUGAGGUUUAUGGGGGAUGUGUUGUUUAAUGAGUGAUGAGGUUUAUGGGAGAUGUGUUGUUUAAUGAUGAGGUUUAUGGGGGAUGUGUUGUUUAAUGAUGAGAUUUACGAGGGAUGUAUUGUUUAUUGAUGCUCUUUGACGAGCCAUAAAGAGAUAAGAAAAGAAAACUUUUGGCUUUGGUAUCAGAAUUGAUGGGAUGAGCCUUCAAAGUUUCCUUUAAAAAGCAAUACAAGAAGUUUAAUGUGAAGAGAGAACAAAUCACAAAAGAAGGUAACAUCUACAUGGAAUAUCUGUGUUCUGCUUUUGUGGAGCUAAUUGAAAGGUACACUUCAUGCAGCUUUCAUGUUAUGUUAUUAGAUGCCCUUACAAGCGUAAAAUUGCUAUUCUAGUAUUUUGCAUGUGCAAUGUAGCAUCAAUAGGUGAUAUUCCCUAUGAUAGCAGUGGAUACAAGGCAGCAAUGUUACCUGUGCCCACCAGGGUUUUACUUAUUAAAUGUGAUAAGAAAAGAGAUUCCAACAUGCAAGCAUUUCGCAAAAAUAAUAGGGCACCUAGAACUAAAUAUCAGCAUAGAUAGUAGAUACUCUAAAAAUCCUGUGAUAUUUUUCCUUCUAUAGGUGGUAUUUUUCAUGUAGCUCUACUACAAUUGGCCAUUAUAACUUUCAGAUCAUUAAUGAAUGCAAUGUAUUGGAUAACUGUAUACUAAUCAUAUGCCAAUUUUUAAACUAUUUGGUGUGCUUAAGAUGUUUCACAUAGUUGCAUGAACAAUUGUUGGAUUAGCAUCUUCGCCUUUGUAUAAAUUUAUGAGAGAGUGAUGUGACAAAGGUUAUGAAAAAUGAUGACAAUUCUGCAGUGCCAGUUUGGCUCGAACCCAGAAAGGUCAUCAACGGAUUUUGUUUUCUUGCUUAGGCUAUUGCCUGGAAGGAUUUCUAUUAACAUGGAGAAAGCAUAUGAGAAAUUAUGGGACAUAAUUUGGUGUGUAUUGAAGAUGAAAGAUGUACUUAAGGUGUAAGUGCACCAUUCCAUUUGUUCAUCAUCCCUUAUUUUAUUAAGGUAAACUGUUUAUUGUUUUAUUUUUAGUAGAAAUAUAGUUAUAUCUUAUUGGUAAUGCAUCUAACAACUUGCUGAUUGCUAUCCCAAAAUUUUGCAAAGUUCUGUAUCCCUAUAUAUUAUCAGUAUCCACAUUCAUAUGAGUAUUAGGUGGCAUAACCAUGUCAGUUAUUUAUAACUUAAUUUUAUUGCCUUUUUUUGGAACACUGAGAUACUACUUGGAAUCUUAAUUCACUAAAUACUGCUGGGACUCAUAGCAAAAUAGCUUUACCUGUAGAUAUUAUAAAUUUGUUAAUUUGUUGAGUUUUUAAAUGAUAUUCUUUUUAAAUAAGCUAUGGAUAUUAAAUGUACUAUCACAAAUAACUAGAAAUGUUUGACAAAGAGCUCCAUAUAUAAAGUCAGCUAAAGUAUGGCUACUUUUUGGCCAUUAUAUAUAACCUUUACACCCUAUUCGGUUCAAUGCAGAAUAAGGAUAAGUAACAUGGUUUGUUCCGGCUUCUUCUGCCAAGCAACUUUUCAGAACCCACAUUUUUUCUGGGGCAACAGGAGUAUUUUAAAGAGCUGAAACCCCAUUUCCCACCUAACUUGGAUAAAUCAUACAGGAGCUACUCUGCCAGAAAGGAGGAACAAGUACUCUGGCUUAAAAAAGGUUAUGGUAGUUUGUUCCAGGCUAGCUCAAUUAAUUUGGGCCUUUUUUUCUCUGCAAUCAAACAUUUCCUUGAAAUGCAGCAAUUGGUCCUUUAUGUGGGGUGAACAAUGCCCCAUACAGAGGACCAUUAGUUGUUAACUUAUUGCUCAUGCAUGUUAUGUUGGUCUGAGGUAACAAACCUGUUCUUUGCCUCUCUUUACUCUAGAUGCUCAAAAUAUUUUUAGCAUUACCAUCCCGGUGAUCAACAGGAGAAAGAAUAUGCUAUAGAACUUGAGCAAACUGAUUUUAGGUUUUAUGUGUAUAUUAGAAGAGAUUCUUAUUUUUUGUAUGACAUGAAUAGAAGCUGCAGGUGAGAAAGGUGGGUUGUUCUUUUAAGUAUAGUUAUACAUAGUGUUAUUGAGUUCCUUGAGGGGCAAGUUGUAAUCUUUGCAGAUAAAUGCAUUCAGCAACUUAAGUGUUUGUUGGGUGGUUGUAAAUUUAUGAUAACGGUCCAAUGGAAUCCCUAGUGAUUGCUGAAACGUAAAUAAAUGCAUCCAUGCAAGUUGUAAUGUUACAUAUAAUUUUUUAUUGGAGUUGUUCUUAUAUAAUAAAACAAUUCUGUGGGCAAGUUUAGUUAUUUCAACAAAUUAUUUACUACACAAUGACAAUCAAAAUGUAGAAUAUUUUCGUCUAUUAUGUUCUAGAUUCUUAUUGGAGCAAUAUCAAAUGAUGAUUUGAAUUUUGAAGAUAAUUAAGGAUAGGAAAAUUAUAAAGAAAUAAUUAUAUAUAACAAUAAAUAAUACAUGCAGGAAAAAUCAACUUAUGCGCAGUCCCAAAAAUUUAGUCACAAAAAAUACAUAGAAAACUCUAAUUUCUUUACUUCAUUUAUUGAAAAUAUAAAUAAUAGAUUGCAUUGAAAAAUAAAAAGGGAAAGCUAAGAAAUUAGUAACCUUCUAUUCAUUCUCUUUCUAUGACUCCUUUUUUUCUCUUCCUUCAUUUGUCCUACAUAUAUGCUUAGGUGUUUUGAGAAGAACCAUAUGCUAACAAGCAACUUGUUUUUCCUUUAAGGGGAAAACUUUAUAUAAAGGAAGUUCGUUUUAUCCAGCUAUUGUUAGUUACAGGAAUUCAUUUUGUCAAGAUUUGGUAAAAAUAAAAGGAAAUUGUAAAGAGGAAGUUAGAAUUUAAAUAAGGGAUGGAUUUUUAAAAAAAGGAUGGAUGGAUGUGUGGGGGAGAGAAAUGCCCAAAAUCAAGGCAGGUGGAUGUGUAUAUGUGGACAAAGGCAGGGGUGAACCACCCAAAGUUUGGGUGGGUAGGUGCAUGCAAGAGAGAGAUUGCUAGUGUUGCAACUUGGGUUGGGCUUAAGCGCACAACACAAACCUGCCCACCCAACUCACUGGGUAGAGUUAGGUUAGGUUGUGGUUUUUCUAAAUUUGGGUUAGAAUUGGGCUCAAAAAUUCAAACGCGACCUUAAGUUGGUUUAGACUAAGGUCAAGCUUAAACCUAGCUUGAACCCUGCCCGAGUUCGACCUGUCCUAGUAUAUGGAUAGAAAAGAUAUUAUAUUUAUGUUUUCAGUUCAUAGUUAUGUUUCAUAUAGGUUAUUUAUAUGUGUUAUAUAAUUAUUGUUAAAUUAUGUGUAAGUGUACUAUUGAAAUUGACUCAUGGUUGAGGCUGCAACAAUAGAUAUUACUCCAACAAAAAUGUCCCAAACUUUUUUUCUCUGUCUUAUAAUUUUUAUCCAACCUAAUCUAACCUGAUUAAUGUGGCCCAACCCAACCUAACCCCACUAACCUGACCCAACUUGAAUCUGGCUUAUGAUGAGGUGGGGUUGUAUUGGGUUAGAGAAAUCCCAACAUGAGACUGGUUUGAGUUUGGUUAUGAUUAGGAGAUAUAGAGUUUAGAUUUUGUUAGGUUUUUCCCUCAAUCUGACCCAGCUAGCUGGAGUUGCAGUCCUAGAGACUGGGCUAGGAAGUUCCUCCCACAAUUCUAGCCACUAGAUCGGAGAAAGGAGGGUAUUUUGGUCCAAAAAGUUGACAGUCAAAAUCUGCAGCGAAUAUUCUGAAAUUUAAAAGUGUCAUUUUUUUGAUGUAGUUUAUGAAUGCACAUAGAAAUCUCCCUCACCCUUUAAACUGUCAGUUGAAUUUUGAACUUCCGGUGCUCUACAAUAGAGCACAAGUGAAAAAUUAUGCUAUAACGACUGUUGAUAGGUACUGAUGUUUGUGGAUAGCAUUUUCUAAAUCAUAUAAAUUUGUAAGGAAUGACAUAAAUGAGUCAUUUUACAAUUGAUUCGUGCAAUAAAUUCUGAAUAUAGAAAGAUUAUUUCUUCUUUUAUCGGAAUUUCGUAUCUCGAGUGUAAUGUCAUGUUUUCUGCUAUUUCUAUCAAUGCAAUUUAUGUGCUGUCCAUAGUUUGCCGAACUGAUAUCGAAGGGUGUAUCGGCCGGCAACAGGUUUCGGCACAGUACGAGCCUGUACUAUGCCAUUCUAGGUCAUAGGGAAGUAGGAAAAGUUGGAGAGGGAGGAGAUAGAGUUGGGGGGGAGAGAGAGGCCAAGAGCGAGAGGGCUCGAAGAGCCCUUCUCGUCAUUGUCGAGGGGGCGAGAAGGAGUGAAAGAGGGGGGUGGGGAGGGAGAGGGGUAGAGGGAGAGGGGGGGGGUGGGGAGAGAGAGGGGUAGAGGGAGAGGAAGGGAGGGAGGGAGAGGGAGACUUACUUGGUCAGCCGGGGAUGUUGAGGAGGGGAUUUAGGUUUGAAAGGAGAGGGCAAACAAAGCGGGCAGCAAAUAGAGGGGGGCGAUCGAUCGGAUGAGCGAGACGAAUGAUCCGGCGAGCAGGAUGAAUGAUCCGACGAGCAGAACAAUCAAUCAAGCGAGCGAUGGAGCUUUGAAGCUCCGAUUAAUGGCGGAAUGGGGAGAGAGAGAAUCCUUGGAGGGCAUCCUAGGGGGGGAGGGGGACCGAUUCAAUUCUUGGCUAGUGCAAUUCAGUAUAGCCUGAACCACCUGGUUUGUGUCAGUUUGGCCAACCUUGAUGCUAUCUUCUGAUUUUCUCUACUAUUUUUCUCUCUCCAGGUUGGCAUAUGGGAAGAACGUAAAGUCUUUGGUUCUCGUGGACAAAUUCUUAAGGAAGAGCUCUUGGGAAGGAAUCUGGAGAAUAGAAAUAAAAAUGGAAAGGGCAUUAGUUACAAGUUGGUAAGAAACUUCAACCACAUCUUAACCAGUGUGAGCAUGCCCUAGUAUGCUGAAGUGUAUAUGCAUAAACAUAUAAAUUCACAUGCUUUUUUUGUUUAAUUUGCAUGUUUGAUAUUUUCAGAAGCAGCCUAGUGGAGAACUGCUGGAGAAGCUCAUUUCAAGUUAUGGGCAUGCUCAUAACGUGGAUGAAGAUGCUUUAUUUGGAAAAUGCCAGACUGCAAUUAGCUUUGUUGACAAAGUGGAAAAGGACUUUGACUCCGGUGAAUGCUACCUUCUUAUUACCAGUUUGGAUUUAUUUUUCUUUUUACUUCAAUAAGGAGGACUUUAUUUCCUUUUUGUUUUUUUACUGCAGUUGCAUGACAUCUGAACAUUUUAUACUUGGAUUUGCUAUUUUUUUCAUAUUUCUUGCAAGUUUUGUUGGAAUCAUGCUAUAGUUGCUUGGGGAAGUUGACGUGUUAGUCUGUUAGAUUAAUCAUACCAUUCAUAAUGAACUGAUAUAUAUGAUCAAUAAUAUCAUUAACUUUGUUAGUUUGGAGUCAUAUAUGUUACUCCAUUCUCUGCUAUAUCCUUCUAAGUUCAAACUUAUGCCAAUUAUUUUUGAUUGCUUCAUCAUGACAAAAAGAUGCGUGUUGGACUUCCUAACAACAUCUUUGAUCCUGCUAAAAAAAUGUAGUAUCCUGAAGUCAUUCUAAAGAUGCAUGUUGCUGGUGAUAAACAAGCAUAUGGUAUAUGUAUUAUACUAUUUGAAGAAAAUCUAAUUCAUAAACUAAUAACAUGAAUCUAUGUUACAUUUGAUGUCAGAAAUAUGCAUGCUUCCUACAUAUAAAGAGAAAAUCAUCUUUAUAUAUCCUACAUCACACCUUUUAUUUGUUUGGUGCCCCUUUUGAAUCUGGAAUCUUCUUGGAUAUCUGAAGCAUAUUAAAAUUUCUUCCACUUUCAUGUCAUAAUUUCUGACUGAGUUGUGUUAUAAAUAUUAAUGUAUCUAUUUUUUUAAUAUUUAUAAUUAUGACAUUGUUUAAGCUUACAAAUAAUUGUUGUCAUGUGAACUGAUUUCUUAUACCUGAUUAUGAUUAAUGGUUUAGGUUAGACAUCACUUGUGUUAAAACUAACUUAUAAAAAAUGGUGGCUUGGUGCACGAGGAUCCCACCAUUGUGGGGCCCGGGGAUGGUCAGACAUAUGAGGCCUUAACCUUGCGUGUAGAGGCUAUUUCCAUAUUUCGAACCCAUGGCCUCCAGGUUAUAAUAAAGCAACUUUACCAUUGUGCCAAGGCUCACCCUCAAGCUUAAUAACCUUAUAGGUAAAGAAUUUUUUUUGAAACUUUGAGUUGUUUUAUAAGGAAAAUGAAAGAGUUGUGGCACGCUUUAAUGGAAGAGGCACUAUAUAGAGACUUACAAGAAUGAUAAAAUACAUGCAACAGUGUCUCUUUGUUGUCUUUCAAGGAUCCAAAUUGUCAUGGCUGCCUGGUAUUUGCUGCUUCUAUAUUAUAAAUGAGAUUUUUAAUGCUCUAUCACUUUUAAAAUAUGUUUAUUUCCUGAUCUUGUGUAAUAAAUAAUGAUGCACUGAUUGUCUGCAUCUUUGUAGGUUUUCCUUCUUUUGUUUGAUGAAAAUAGAUUUUUCUUCUUUAAAGGUAUAUGUUGACUCGUGAAUAUCCUUUAAACCUUGUCUUUCUCCGUAGAAACUCUUCAAUGUAAAGCUUGAUUAUAUUUAAUUUCUCGAAACUUUCUUUGUAAAUAUUUUAAUCAAGGUAUGCCAUCUCGGUACCGGGCCCUAUGUCGGCGCCACUCUGUUGCUGUGUCAAUAUGGACGGUAUGGAGGCUAGUUCGGCGAACCGAAUGUCGGUACGCCCUGUACCAUGUACCGGUACCGUUCCAGUACAAUACGGUAUGCCUCGUACCGUAUGUUUUGGUAUGGUGUGGCGUACCAUAUAUCUAAUGCUAAUUCUCGAACAUGAUUAUGAGUGAGACAUCGAUUGCCGUUUAAUUCUGAAAAAUCUAGGUCUUACGAUCUUUCCAUAGAUUAUAUUGAAUUAUUGAUGUGUCACUCCAUGCUGUACAGCAUGCCUACCCUUGUAUCAUGUAAGAAUGGGCACUAACUCAUUAUUUGCCCCAAUUCAAGGCAUGGUAUUGUGCCAGUUGAUGACUGCCAUGGGCACAUCACGUAGUACUUCAAAAGAUGGAUCCACACUCUUUGCUUGUGUGAUUACAAUUAUGCAGUUGUUUCCCUUUUUGCAAAUUUGCAGAACUAAUUUAUUAAGUGUAUGUUUAUACCUAUUCUUUGACUAUGUUAAGUGAUUGUAGUAGUCUUCUACCCUCAGGAAUAUGUCCAAGUUCUUUAAUUGCGUGAAAAUUGUUUGUGGUGUUCAUCUGGGGAAAUUUAUCAUAGAAGAAUGUUGCAUUGUUUUUCUUUAAACAUUUAGCUUGCAUUUUCCCACCAAACUAGAUUGGGUACUUAAGAGGCAUUACUAAUCCACACAUGGAAGAUGGGUAAUGCUGUCCCACAUGAAACUAGUUAGCCUGUUAUAUAUGGUACCCACUAUAAGAUUAAGUACAUGAGCAGCUUUGAUUUCUUGGAAGUAGUUGAUCGUAUCAAAUUUUGUGAACCCAUGCUGAAGAUGUAUCUACCUGAUGAGCCCCACCUGAAAAGCAAGUAGAUGAAUUGUUGUGUUCUGUCCAAGUACAACCUGAUAUAGAUUUUGCCCCAAGAGAGCAAGUGUAUUGUUUUUGUUCUCAUUUACCCUUCACCAGAUAAAAAGAGUCUCCAUUGGUCCUCCCUCACUCAGAUAUAUCUCCUUAUGCACGUCUCACUUAAAAUUCAGUUAAAUGAACACAUUCAGACAUCUGCCUAACAUUAAUAUUUACGCCCCAGUUUUUGGACUCCAUGCGAAACAAAUAAAUCCACUAGAUGAGGUCCAUUUGGAAAUUACUAUGAAUUGCAAUUAUUUGUUGGAUUUUGGUUGCGAGAAAAAGGGAGAGAUGGCUUGCAUCACAAUUUCCUGGAUCUGUUUAUAAAUGCAACUAUAUCCUUAUAUAAGUGCCUCUAUUUUCUCCAAGAUCUAGCUAGUUAGGAGUAAUCUAUUUUCUGUUUUUAAAUGGUUAAGAUACUGUUUGACUUGAUCUGUUCUGAAGAAUCAUGAAGGCAGAGGCCUUUCUCCUUUGAUGUUGGAAACAUUUUUCUAGCUAUUCAUGCAGACUAGUAGAAUUUGAAGAAACCAGAAUAGUAUCUUUAAACAGAUGGAUUAGUAUUUGUCGAAGAAUUGCCAUUCUAUCUAAUGUUGCAAAAGGAGUCGAUGGGUGACUUAGUAAUGUUUUUGCAGUUCGAAGAUCAGUGGUUUAUGAUGGAUUGUCAACACAUGCCAUUUCACUGAGAUAUCUAUCAUCUAUAAUAAGAUGGUUCCUUAUUCAUUCAAUUUAUCUCUCUCUUCUUCCCAAUUUUUAUUUCAUUAAAAUAUAAACUCAAAUAACCAGUUUGUUUUAUUAAGGAUAUUAUCCUUCUAGUGUUCUUUUUCUUUCCUUAAAUGGUAAAGGGUUAGAAUGGCAGUUAUUGGGUGCCCGACUGUGUGGUAUUUGUUGAUAUUCUGACUUCUUCAGAAUGAAGUUUGUUUUGUAAUAUAUUGAGCUGUCACUCAACCAACAUGACAUUUCUUAUCUCGGUUCUUGUGAACAUGUUUUACAUUCAUUUUUCAUGAUAUCACUGCAUUUCCAACUUACUUUACAUAUUCCAGUGUGGAAUUUUUGAAUUACUUGUUUUUAUGAAUGGAUAGGUAACACCAGCGAAUCUGCAAUUGUGGCGGACUUGCAGGUGCAGCAUGGCAUACUAAAAGAAUGUAUAGAACAACUGAAAGCAGCUGAAACAUCUAGAACAACUCUUUUGUCUCAUUUAAGAGAGGCACUCCAUGAGCAGGUAGGACAGCUGAUGGAUCUUCAUCUAAUGAUGACGUGAAGUAUAGUAAAACUGCAUGGAGUACUAUUUUAUUAGAUAUAUUUCUAGUUUGGUUAUCAUAACUGGCUUAAAUUGGUUUUUCAGGAGUUGAAGAUUGAAACGGUCCGUAAUGAACUUCAGGUGCUCUUCUUGCACUUUAGCAGUCAUGUUUGUUGAAAUUGUGAGUUAUUUACUCUGAUGUGAUUUUGUGGAGAUGUUAACUUUCUCCAAAGAUUUUAAAAAGACUGUAUAUUCUAGUGAGUACCCUUGAGUUGGUUAUCUGUUGAUUCAAAUGCAUAUAGCCUCUGUUUUUCAUAAAUGUAUUAGACAACAUCAUAAUCCUAGCUGAGUGAAUUCCAUGCAUAUCUAUAUAUGAAACCUUUUAACCUGAUGUAGAUACAACUUUUAUGAAUGGUAAUCUUGAUUCAUUUUUGUCAAGGUGAACUCAGAAAAUCCUGUGGUAGUAGUCAGCGAUUUAGGAGCUAGACGAGCCACUGGAGAAGAAGAAAUUAAUGGUCAUGUACCAUAAUUAUUACUUUAACCAAUAGUUAUUAUUAAGGAAUCAAUCAAUUGAAUAAAUUAUACUUUAUCUGUUCCUAUCUGCAUGACUUAUUCUUUGUAACGGUGAGAUUCCUUUUAUAACCGGGAUUACACAAACUAGGCCACUAGGAUAAGGGAUUGGGCACUUGUCCUAGUAACUUCAUAUUUGCACUAAGCAUAUGUCAGGUUAAGCCAGGUUCGGGCCAGGCCUGGGAUCGAUAUCAAUAAAAUUUUGCCAAGCCUGAGCCUGGUCAGCUUUGGGUUUGAAAUCUAGAGCCCAAGCCUAGCCUAGCACAAACUUAAAAGGCCCAGGCCUGAUCCACCUGACUCGGGUAAAAGUUAGGCUAGGCGAGCCUACUCUCAACUGGACCUGAGUGGGCCCGACCCGGCCCAACUAAGCUAGUUGGAGGAAGCAGGGAGGCUGCAGUGAAGUUGGCCGGUUAAGGGGAGGUGCAUAAAGAGAGAAAGAGAUAAAGGUGGUAGUAGUUGCAGGCUUGGAUGAGAGGUACAUAGGAUGGGACAGAGGGGUGAUGGCCAGCUUUGGAGGGAGGUGCUGAGAGUGAUGGAGAGGAGCGGCGACAACUGGGGGUGAUAGGAGGCACCAAGACAGAGAGGAGCAUCGGUAGCUGAUUGGGGCAGAUGCAUAGAGAUAGGAGUAGUGGUGACGUGGUGGUGACGGGCAAGGGGGAAGUGCUAAGAGUAGAGAGAGGAAGAAGAUAAGGAGGUGGCUGUCAGUGUGGAUUUGGUGGUGUGCUUGGUGGCGUCUGUGUAUCAAGGAGAGGAGAUUGAGGUCCUUUCCCUUGAGGGAUUUAGGGCCCUGAUUCCUCUUAAAUUUCAAAUUUCAAAAAAAAUAAAUAUAUAUAUAUAUAUAUAUAUAUAUAUAAUAUUGUUGGGCUGGGUUGACAAAAUACAAGCCCACGUUCGGCCCAAAUUUUGUUGGGCCCAAAAUAUUGAGGCCUGGCCCAGCAAAUGGGCUGAAAAACCCACCCCAAGACCAACAGAAAUUGGGGGUUGGGCUAGGAGGUCCAGGCUGACUUUGCACAAAUCUAGUUCACCUUCAUGAUGCUAUCAUGCCACUUCUGUACCAUAAUCCACUCAACCCUAGGCUACUACUUCAGUCUUACGCCACUUCUGUUGCAUUAGUUUGUAAACAUUUGUUGAGAAGGGAUUCCUUUAGAUUAAUAUUGUGGGCACAAGAGCUUAGGGUGCCUUCACCCCCAACCCUGGUUACAUUUUCUUUUUGAAGAUCGUUCUACCUUUGGUAUUCAUGGUAGAUGACUAGGUCCCUACUCAUUGAGAUAUUCAUCAUUUUAUACUCCUAAUGCUACAAUAUUAUUCUUCCUCAAGAGACCCCAACUUGGCAAAUUUUCUCUGAGCCACUUCUUGAAAUAUUCUGUUGCUUCUAUCAUCUUCUCAUUGAAUAAUGAUUUACCAGCUAUCCUUCAUCAUUCCACUCUUUUGUAGUCAAAAGCAAUACAUGGUAGCCAACGGUGCCUGUGUAGUCUAUGAAUCUUGUACUUACCUGUACAGAAUGCCCUGGACUAAAAAUUUUUAUCACUAUAAAUUAAUUGUCUGCAUUUUACUACUAAGGUACUGGAUAUGUUAUAUGUAAAUAUAUUAUAUGGUGGUGCCAGGAGAAAUGGAAAAGUCAUCAGACAAGCUUAUAUAGUAUUUUCUGUCUUGACCCUGGACAUGCCCUUUGAUAGCGACCAUUAACAGGAAAUUAUUCAUAGUACUUCCAAAGUGCUGGUUCUGUUAUUCACUGUUCAUGUUAAUAGAAUGUUUCAGUACUCAUUGCAGUUGAUCUGACUUUUGCUAAAAUCUGAUUAUAGAUCUUCAUCCUUCCUAAAUUCUUGAAUGAAGCAUGUAAGGUAUUUAAAUCAACUUUUGACCAUUUUUGAGACUGCAAGAAUCUGUAGAGAAGAAAUCAGAGGCGAAUUGUUUAAUUUCAUAAGACAAAUAGUUUGGGCAAGUGUAGAUGGUCAUGCUUGUGGGGAACCACUUAGUUGCUGCAUGCAUGGACUGCUUUCAGUAAAUGCUCUCUCAAAUUCCUUUUUCGAUGUUAUGCAUAUUACUUAAGGUUUUAUGAUUUCUCAGGCUGUGCAAUCACGAUAUGAAAAAGCAGGCAACAUCUGCCAGCAGCAACUCAAUUGCAACAUCAGACAGUCGCCCCCUGAGCAGAUACCAAAGGAAUCAUCAUCAGCCUUAUCUGAUGCCCCUCCUGGUUUCAUCCCAUCCAAUAUUGGCAUAGGAGACAAAGCAGUAUCAACUCCACUCAGGUACACCCAGGAGGCACCUCUUGCUAAUAACCAUUCUUCUCGCACAGAAGAAGAGUAUCGGAAAACAGCUGCUGCUGCAGUGGCAGCAAAGCUUGCGGCAUCCACCUCCUCCGCCCAGGUGCUCAGCUAUGUUCUCUCCUCCCUGGCUUCAGAGGGUGUCAUUGGUCAGACUGUGAAAGAGCAGUACCUCUCUGACAACAAGAGGCCUAAGCUAGAUAUCGAUGUGCCUUCUUUCAAGCCACCACUUCAGUCUCAGCCCCCGUCUCAGACUCAGCCACCCCCUCCACCAUACCCACAUCCUGAUAUGCUGCAUCAGCCGCCGCCGCCACCAUCACCAUCACCGCCUACGAGUCAACUAAGCCCCGCUGUCCAGCCGCCGCCGCCGCCACCAACUUCAUUGCCACCUGUGCCUCCACCACCUCCACCAACCACAGCACAGCUUAUGCAGACAGCUGCCGGACCUAUGACGGGAGUACCCUUUGGUUACGGCUCAGCGCCGCCUCUGCCGAGCUACCCAAUGGUUGGCAUGCCUCCUUACCUGAGUGCGCCAAAUCCCUACCAUGGUUUUCAGGCAUCAGAUGGUGUGGGCGGUCUCUUUAGCCAACCACCAUUGCCAACGGCGCCACCCCCAAUGACUCAGCAAUAAUAAGCCAGGGUGAUCUGCAGAAGCACUAGGAACAAUAUGAUGAUUGAAUGAUGCAAAGCUCUUACAAAUGACUAAUAUGAACUUUGUUUCAUCUGAGAAUUGCGACUAGUCUUGCGUACAUUGUAUGCUUCAGUCUGACUAACCCAGAUAUAUGUUGUACAUGAAACCAUAAUAUCUAUAGCAUUAGAAGUGUUGAAGAGAGUUAUUUAACUAAAGAUGGACUGAGAAUUUAGAUUUAGAAAUAAGUGAAGCAAAAUUUUAAUCUAGAUAAAGCAGUUGAAUCUUGAAAAUACUUUUGAAGGCCGUGGUGAGUCUUUUGUUUUCAAAAGCAUCCAUGUUUAGCUUGGUUUCCUGACCUGAAUUACAUCCGUUUUUUCUCAAGUUUUAAAGAAUUUGUAAUUAUUUACAACCUUUGCUCAUGUUAGAGGUUUAUCCAUUGACAGUGUGAUGGCAAAUGCUGCUGUCUGAUGACAUACGGAUUGACAGAAUUUGAUGCUAGCAGGCCAGCUUUCGACUUCCACCUCAGAAAUCUAUGGUGAAUGGACUGAGAUAUAUAGGUCCCUGUCGGUAAACAUGUAAGGCUAAAAGAAUUUUUCAAAAUAAUGAAUGUAUCUUCGUAUGGCAAGACAUUAGGUCGAUAUAAAACAACCACGACCUCAAAAUAUUGACCCAUAUAUUUCAAACAAGAUUGGCUACUGUUUUAUGCGUUGAAUUUAUUAUUAACUGCUCCAAACUUUAUUGCAAGUGUAUUGUCUUCCAGAGGAAGAACAUCAUCUGUUUGAAAAAUGUGAUCAUAAAGACGAAGAUUGGACUAGAUGUUAGAUAUUUUCAAAAUAAUAAAGAAAUAACAUUUUAUUUUGAUUCACAACCAGCCAACCUUUAUGGUGGUUGGUUGGCUGGUGCUUUUUCAGAAAAAAAGCAUUAGUUCAAGUCUCUUUUGUUUAAGAAGGGAUGUGUUCUCGGUGGAAAGAUGCACUUCUAGACAAAAAUGAUUUCCGCGUCUUUUUAGAAAAGAAAGUGUCUAUCCUAAGAUUCAGCCUUCUCUAUAAAUAGCUAAUUAAACCUCCAUAUCAGCAUACACAAUAGCAUAUCAUAAUACAUCAUUAUUAUCAGAUCAACUUCAUUCUAUAGACAUUGGUGAAUGCACAUUGUUUUGCCACGUUAGUGCAAAACGCGAUCAAACAGUGGGCUCCACUGUAUCCUAAAGGCUUAUCAUAUAUUCCCCUUGCAAACCAGAUUGGUGGGGGCGAAUAAAGCUUUAAAGAAAAUGGAAAUAUUACACACCUUGAAGUCAUUCUCUUUUCAAGCUUUUUAUUUUUUUUCCCUUUUUUAUCCAAGAAUCUUAAGACUUUAUCUCAUUCUACAACAAAUGGCAUUUGCAACACUUCGAGAAAGAAGGAAACUUUUUGAGAUGGCAAAGAAGAAGCACUUACCACCAAGGUGGUAGCCUAGUGGUACUGGGCAGCAAUUCUAACCACAAGGUCUCAAGUUCGAAUCGCUGCGGCGACGAUUAAAUUGUGGACCGAAGCUCACUACUUUGGCCACUGCUUGGACUUGUGGUGUAGGACCGCUCUUGAACCGCUAGUAGCCGGGGUGGUGCCGGGUGUGACGUACUCACACGUGGGACUCGAGCCAGAGCUCAGAGGAGUAGCUGAGCCGGGCUCACGGGUGGGGAGGGUAUGAGUAAAACCGGUCGGGGUGCCCAACACACGGCCAUUUCUGCCCGCAUCGAACAUUCUCCUGGCGGGGCGGGGGCCCAGUGGGGGCUGCUACGCGGGGAUGGGCUUGUCCCUUCCUCCCCUUUACCCCUUUCCUUUAGCAAAAAAAAAGAAGAAGCACUUUCUCCUUACAACUCUGAAAGUUAUCUAUGCCCUCAACACACCAAGGCCAAAAGGAAAUAAAGAUGAAACUAGGGUAGAAAUAUGUACCAAACAGAAGUGGGAUAAUGAUGACUACAUAUGCAGAUGACAUAUUCUUAAUGAGAUGUUAGAUGCACGUGGCUACAAAAGAGUUAUGGAAGAAAAUUGAAGGAAAAUAGAUGUCAAAAGAUGAUAUCAGUAAGAAGUUCCUCGUUAGCAGAUUUAAUAAUUAUAAGAUGGUUGAUGAUAGAGCUUAUUCUUAAUAGUUAUAAGUUGCAUAAUAUGAAUAUGGAUGAAACCAUUAUUGUGUCCUCUAUUAUUGAUAAACUUUCUCCAUCAUGGAAAGACUUUAAAAGAAGACUAAAAUAUAAGAAAGAGGAUAUCUCUUUUAAGGACUUAGCUAACCAUCUCAUAUUGAGGAGGAAUAUUGCAAACAAGAUGAAAACAAGGAGCAAAAUGCUUGUCACCAAAAUCCAUAUGGUUGAGAAAAGUCAAUUAAGCAAACCCACAAAGAAGAAAGCCUAUCAAUCUCCCACCAAUUUACAAAGAAGAAGAAAGGUGCAUGCUUUCAUUGUGGAAAACCUGGACGCCACAAGGCAAAAUGCAAGGACAAGAAUCUAUUCAAGAAAUAUGAACCAGUAGAAGAUGAAAGUGUUCUCUACAUGGGGAACUUGUCCACUGCACAAGCCAAGAGAAAAGGAACCAUAGAACUUGAAUUCACUUUUGGAAAGACACUUACUCUUAAUGAUGCGUAUUAUGUACCAAAAGUUAAGAAAAAUUUGGAUUCAAAUUAGUGGUUGAGGGAGAUAAUUUUAUUCUAUCCAAGGAUGAAAUCUUUGUGGGGAAGACUAUAUGUAUGAGGGUAUGUUCAAGCUUAGUAUUAAUAAAAUAAAGCUUCUUGUGCUUAUAUUGUUAAAUCUACUUAUUUACGGCAUAAUCAUUCAGGUCAUGUAAAUUUUAGAAGAAUGCAUGAUAUUGUUAAACUAGAAUUAAUUCCAUAUUUUAACAAAAAUAUUGAUAAAUGUAAAACAUGCAUGCUUACUAAGAAUACUAGAAAUCCUUUUUUCUAAAGUAGAAAGAUGUACAAAAUUGCUUGAAGUAGUAUAUAGCGAUGUGUGUGAUUUGCAUAAUACACCAACCAUAAAAGGAAAGAAAUAUUGUGUAAUAUUUAUAGAUGAUUAUUCUAGGUAUUAUUAUAUUUAUUUGUUGCAUUCUGAAUAUGAAGUAUUAGAAAAAAUUAAAAUUUACAAGUUUGAAGUAGAAUUGCAUAAUGAAUCUUUUACUAAAAAAUUUAAGAACUGGUAGAGAAGGUGAAUACUAUGAUCCUAGUCAUUUUGAAUCCAUUGGAAUUGUUCAUGAAACUUCUGCACUUUACACACUACAGCAAAAUGGCGUAUCAGAAUGUAAAAAUAGGAUGCUCAUAGAAAUGAUUAAUGCAAUGCUUUCUAAUUCUGAUUUAGGCCAAGAUUUUUAGGGUGAGGCUUUGUUUACAGCUUGUCAUAUAUUAAACAGAGUUCCUAAUAAAAGAAGCAAUACAACCCCAUAUAAACUCUAGAAGAAAAGCAACCCUAACCUAAACUACUCAAGAGUUUGGGGAUGUAGGGCUAUUGUAAAGGUUCUUGAAUCCAAAAAGAGAGAGUUGGGCGAAAGAGGAAUUGAAUGUAUAUUUCUAGGAUAUGCACAAAACAAUAAUAAAUAUAGGUUCAUGGUAAUAAAACCUAAUGGCUUAUUAACAAUCAAUACCAUGAUUGAAUCAAAAGAUGCCAUAUUUGAUGAAAUAGAUUUAAUUCAAUUUCUAGACCUAAAGAAUGUUUUAGAACAAAAUAAUCUUUCAUAAGAGAAUGACAAAGAAGAAAAACUUGAAACUAGAAGAAGUAAAAGAGUUAGAAAUCACAUCUUUGGAUUGGAUUUCUUUAUGUUCUUAGUGUAAGGGGCUAGAAAAUCCUUUGGUAGACAUAUACCAUAUUGUUUUAAUAUAGAAGCAGACCCUGCAAUUUAUAAAGAGGCAAUAAAAUCUCAAGAUAUUGCCUUUUGAAAAGAAGCUAUUAGUGGAAAAAUAUAUUUUAUUGUGGGCAAUAAUACUUGAAAAUUAGUUAAUCUCUCACCAGGUUCUAAAGACAAUAGGUUGUAAAUGGAUUUUCAAGAAGAAAGUAAAAGUAGAUGGAAGCAUUGAUAAGUUCAUGGAAGCAUUGAUAAGUUCAAAGCUAGAUUAGUGACAUAAGUGUUUACAUAAAAAUAAGAAAUUGAUUAUUUUGAUACAUUUGCACUAGUGGUUAGAAUUGCAACUAUUAGAAUACUAAUUGCACAUGCAUCAAUUGAUAAGUUGGUUAUUCAUCAAAUGGAUGUAAAAAAUAUAUUUUUAAAUGAUGAAUUAGAUGAAGAAGUAUAAUGGAAUAACCCGAAGGGUUUAUAGUUUCUGGACAAGAACAUAAAGUAUGCAAACUUAUUAAAUCUUUAUAUGGAUUAAAACAAGCUCCUAAAAAAAUGACAUCAAAAUGUUAAUCAAAUUUUGCAUGAAAAUGGCUAUAGAAUAAAUGAAUAUGACAAAUGUGUAUAUUGUAAAUUUAAUAAUAGAGAAGGUGUUAUUAUUUGUUUGUAUGUAGAUGAUAUGCUAUUUUUUGGUACUAAUUUAGAAUAAGUUGAGCAUAGUAAAAGGUUUUAUCUUCUAAUUUUGCCACGAAGGAUAUGGGUGUAGCCGAUGUUAUAUUAGGAAUAAGAAAUUUUAGAGAUAAUGAUAGUUUAAUUUUAUCUCAGUCUCACUAUAUAAAAAAAGUACUGCAAAAAUUUAAUUAUUUAAAUUGUACUCUAGUAUCUACACCUUUGAUCCUAUCUUAAAUUAAUUUUAAAUACUAGAAAGCCUGUUGCACAAUUAGAAUAUGCAAAAAUUUAUUGGAUGCUUAAGGUAUGCUAUGACCUGUACUGAUAUUACUUAUGUUGCAAGAAAGUUAAGUAGAUAUAUGAAUAAUCUAAAUAAUUUACAUUGGCAUGUUAUACAUAAAAUUUUAAAAUAUUUAAAAAAAACUAUGAAUUAUGGUAUUCAUUAUAGUGGAUAUCUUUCCAUUUUAGAAGGAUGUAUGGAUGCUAAUUGGAUUGUAAAUAAAGAAGAUCAUGCUUCAACAAGUGGAUGGAUCUUCAUACUUGGUGGGGGUGCAAUUUUUUGGGAAUCUAAGAAACAAUAUGUAUAGAAGUCUCCAUUAUGAUAGUAGAGUUUAUUGCUUUUGCUUUAACAAGUAAAAAAGUAAAAUGGUUGAGAGAUUUCUUAUAUGAGAUUCUAUAAUGGUCUAAACCAUUGCCAUCUAUCAAAAGCAUAUAAUGAAGUAUAUAAUGGAAAGUCUAGACAUGUUGGACUGAUAUAGCUAUGUAAGACAAUUAGUUACAAAUGGAGCGAUCAUUAUUAAUUUUGUAAGAUCGGGUCAAGAUUUGGCAGAUCCAUUAACAAAAAGAGUUGCUAGGGAUUUGGUGCUUAAAACAUCAAAAGGGAUGGGACUUAGGCCCAUUUUUCAUGAUCACCAAUGAUGGAACCUCAACUCAAUGCUUGAUAUAACAUCAAAUCUUUAGUUCAAUGAGACAAAGUACAUCACAAGAGUGAUUGCAAGCACUAUAAUUUGAUUUUAAUACCAUCCCAAGGUGAAAGUUCUUGGGUCCCAUAAUGUAUAAAGAGAAGGAUGAGCUAAAUACUCUUAAUAGACCUAUAAUAGAAAUAUGUUGAAGUGCUUUAGUUAUGGGGUACUUUCGAUAGAGUCUAUCUAUGUGAGUAUGAAGUGAGUUCUUAAAGCACUCAUAAAAAGGAUACACAUAGUAGACCAUAAAAGUGUCAGCUUAAUUCAAGCAUUCAUUGAUGCAAGAAUAUUAUGUGUGAAGAUAUGUUCAAUAGAAUCGCUAGUUCAAAGAUUAGUCUACCAUGCCACUCUGACUUGCUUGAACUUAUCCUCAUUAAGUGAAGAUUCAAACCGCAAGAUAUCUUUAUUUAUGCAUAAGAUUUCAGAAUUAUUGUUGAUAUGAUAAAAUCAACUUAUUUUGAAAAUGGUGGGGAAUUGUUAGAUAUUUUCAAAAUAAUAAAAACAUAACAAUUUUUUUAUUCACAACUAACCAACCAUUAUGAUGGUUGGUUAGCUGGGACUAGUUCAAGUCUUUUUUCGAACGUCAGAAUUUUGAAACUGGGUCUUCUUUCAAAUAGUUUUCCUGAAAAAUUUAAAUAAAUUAGUUCACAAUUUUAUAAUUCAACGUCCUAACGUAUUUCUGACAUAUUUUUGUCUAAAGAAGUGUUUGUCUGUCAUAUUUGAGAAGGAAUAUGCUUGAUGAAAAGAUACAUGCUUCUGAGAGAAAAUGCUAGCUAAUUAAACCUCUAUAUCAAAAUACACAAUACACCAUUAUUAUCAAAUCAACUCAAUUCUCUUGACACGGGCGAAUGCUCAUUGGUUUGACCCGUUAGUGCAAAAAUCGUGAUCAAACAUUGGGCUUCAUUAUAUUCUAAAGUCUUAUUACAUAUUCCUCUUGCAUACCUGGUUGGUGGGAGAGAAAAAAGCCUUAGGGAAAGGCUACAUGCCUUGAAGCCAUCCUCUUUUCAAGGUUUCUAUUUUUUUCCCCAUUUGCUCCAACAUUGGAUGUACACCUUUCAUUACUAUUGUGCACCAGUUUGAUAGACAUAAAAGAGUGCACAACUAUGAAAUAGUUCGUUCCAUUCAUACAAAGUUUUUGAAGUUUCAACAUUGACAGAAAAAAAAUGUUUUCUGCAUCUGGCUGUUUGUUCUCUCAGAGGUGCCUAUGGGCAUAUAAAUUAACAUAGAGCUAUAAAUUAAUUGGAAGUAUGUGGUUCACAUUAGAUGGAUGUAGGUCCUGAAUUUUCCGCUGGAUAAACCAGUCCAAUACCUUUCUCAAUUCUGGGGUCGUCUGUUACCGGCUAGUCCAAUACCUCUCUCCAAUAUUUAUUUUGAUGACUUCCUCCUUUAAGGCAGCUUUAAAGGUUCAAGGCUUCAAGCCCUUAUAAUGUUGCUUUGGGGUGAUGCCCAAAGCAAAGAGCUUUUGUCCAUGAAAGGGAUCUACUUUGGGACCCAACUAAGGCAUAUAAAUGCCUAGAGAGUUGGGGCAAGAUGCUGAACCCGGUCCAUGUAUUGAUCACGACCUUAAGAAGCUGGUGAGCCGAACCUUGUGUGCAAAGUUAAUAUUAGAAAAAAUAAAAAACAAUUGCGCAAGAGCACACUAAAAAUAACUAGCAAGUAAUUGAUGCCACUAAUCUUUAAAUCAAAUAAUUAUUUUAAUAUAAAUUAAAUUAUUUUAAUAAAAUAAGUAUAUCCUAAACAUUUUUUUCCUGCUCGUGCACAAGAACUCAUAUAGGUAAGAGAACAAAAGGGGAACAAAAGGACAUGGGCAAAAACAAAUUGAACUAUCCUCGUACGUUCACAGUUAAAAUUUUAGGAGCUGUACAAACUAUCUAUGAUCAAAACUAAUCUCAAAUACUCGUAUAAUAAAGGCAGCAUGUACAGAUCACUUCUCAAUUGCAAAAAUUUGGAGCCUCAGAAAAUCAUGAAUUAUCAUUAGCAUGUUGGAACACCAGUCAUUUCAGAAGUCACUUGCUCGUUAUUUUUUGAUCAUUUAGUGAUCACUGCUGGGAAUUUAGAAAUGCUGGAUAAUGGUAAGCCAAUAAUCGAGUCUUGAACAAAUAAUGGUUGUCAUAAAGGAGAAAGUCUUCAGCUUCACCUGCAACCUAAUUUUCCAGUUUGACAUUAUUGUUAUAAUUUAGCUUCUCUGACAAAUCUUGUAUGGUAGCCAAAGCAGCCUAUAAAAAAAGACAAUUAGCUGAUCAAAAUCUAUAAUUAUGAAAAAAUUAUCAUUUAAAGAAAAAUAGACCACAUAUUAAGAGAGACGCAAGACAAGACCUUUAAUUCUUUCCUCAAGCUAUCCUCAACUUUGUCUUUCCGAUUUCUUUCAUCUUGAAAUAUGUCAGUUAAAGCAUCUUGUUCCUUGUUUGCCUCUUCUAGCUUAUUUUGUACUGCUUCCAGCUGGUUAUUCAGAAAGGAAAACCAUUAGGAAAUAUAUCAUAGAAUCAAUAUACAACCUUGUCACCCUGUUUCUAUUCUAACUCAACAUGCACGUACUUAUGUACAUUGAAGCAUAUAAGCAUACAAUUUAUUAGCAAGCUUUGAGUGAAGAAUCCCUUAAUUCAGGAAAAAGAGAAAGCAUUCAUAUGAAAUCAUUUAGUAAUUUGCUGAUACUGUUUAUAUAUAAUGAUGCCGAACCGUGCCGGAUCGCUCAAUUCGGAGUGUACCGAACCGGACUGAUUGAUAAUCGGCCAUUCGAUUUGAUCCUCUUGUAUAAGUAUACAUACAUACACGCAUACAUGCAUACAAGCAUGUAUACAUCCAUACAUAAGUAUAUAUACAUAUAAACUAGUGGUCUCUCUCUCAACUUCUCUCUGGCUCUCCCUCUCAAUUCUUCUCUCUCCCGGCAAUCUCUCUCUCCCCAUGGCGAUCUCUCCCUCUCGGCGAUCUAUGUCUAUCAACACCAGCACCAAUCCCCUCUCCUUACAUCAACAGUUUGGAUGGUCUCUCCCUCAAUCGAACCCGACACCCUCUCCCUCUAUCCAGCAUGGUUUUCAAGUCCUCAAUCAACACCAACGUAGAUCCCUUAAUACGUCUCUCUCCCCCUCCCUCUUCUUCUUCCUCUUUCUCCCCUUUAUCUUCUCUCUCUCCCCCCUAGUUAUCCUAAGGUUAGGGUUAGUCUUCUCUCAAUCUUUCGUCUCCAACACAGCUUAGCUCGGUAUGGUACACACUAGUACUGUAGCGAACUGGUCAUCGACUGGUAUGAGCCCUAGUACUUGUUCGGCAAACCUUGAUUUAUAACAAUUUUUUUUGGCUGGCCGCUGGCUACUACAAGAAAAACCUAUAAUGUUGAAACUCCCAACUUAUAGUGUGAUGGAAAUAAAACUUUUGUGGAUGAGAAACUCUAACCACAAAUGUAGUCAAAACCACUAAAAAACUUUUAGUACAAUUGCUCAAAGUACUACUUUAUUUCUUUUUCUCUUGCACUGACUAUCAGCCACUUGUGGCUUGAUCUCAAAAUCAACAUGAGCUCUUAUAAGGGUAAAACCUACUCUUAAGCUUCAUCCACUUGUAAGGGUUUUAAGGGUCUUCUUGAGGAAGGUUGUUGGGUUGUUGAUCUUGGUUUCUUUCCCUACAGAGAUUUAUUUCUGUUUCUGUAAGGAUCCAUGCAGGCGUAUGUUUAGUCCCAUAUCGGUUAUUCGCUGAGAAGAUCUUGGGUAUUUAUACAGGACCAAGGAACUCAAAAAAUACCUUCUGACUAGCUUUUCUAGAUGAGGUCCUGGGUUGUUACAAACGGUAUCAGAGUAGACCUAGUCUAUUACCUAUGUGGACUAGAGGAUACUAUAGCACGAAUCUAUUGGGAUUGACCACAGACCGAUUAUGGUGUUUAUGAUUAGAUUUAAAUAGAUUUGAACUCUUAGCCUGACGAGGACAUCAGAGCUUAAACGAGGAAAGUAUGUAAGGAUCCGUGCGAGUAUGUAUUUAGUCCCAUAUCGAUUAUUCACUGAGGAGAUCUUGGGUACUUAUACAAGACCAAGAAACUCAAAAAAUACCUUUCAACUAGCUUUUUUGGAUGAGGUCCUGGGUUGUUACAGUUUCUUCCUCUUUUCCUCCAUUUCUUUCUUUUAUAUACCGUUUGCUUUCUUAGCUUAUAUCCUUUCUUCCAUUAUCUUAAUGAAGGUGAUUAGGCUUGGUCUAAUAUAUUCUUGAAAGGAAAAAAGAAGAAAANNNNNNNNNNNNACGAGCUCCAAGAAUCUUCCAUCACCAUCUCCAAUCAAGUCUCACUAGGCCCUACUCUGCUGUUCUCUCCCCCUAAUGCUGAUGCAUGCACCCCUUCUAUAUAGAGGCCCCAUCAAAUCUUUCACUGUGUAUGACCAUAACAUCUUUAUUCUGCAAUGUCAUGCAACUUUUAGACUUCCUCUUAUUUCCUUAUUCUAAUUCCUAGUCCAAGUUCUACCAAAGCAUUCAACUACUCGUCCCUGAUAGAUCCAUUCUUUGUACAUGCAUCUGAUCCAACAAAUGCAUGCAAUACAACAUAGAUAUUCAAACCUCUGAGCUGUGCAUCUAUGGUUAACCAUCCAUCUCUCUGGUUGUGCCUUUUUAACUUCAAUUUACAUGUUCUAAUAAUGGUGAAGACAUCUUCAUCUAUCACAAUCUCUUGUAUCAUCUCUCUAGGGUUUUAUAGAUAAUCAUUCAAGUACUUCUUAUUAGUUUAACUUAUCUGUAGUCCAUUAUGUUCUAAAGUUUCCCUAGCACCACUUCAACAUUAACUCUUGAUUUGAUCAAUUAACACUACAUAUCCUUUUGGAUAGCUUCUUGUUAAGGCAUCCAUGACCAAUUGGAACUUGGAAGUGUAGCAAGUUCAGGAUCAAUCCUCAGUUCAACACCAACAUAACUAGGAAUUGACUGCUUUAACCACAAGUCUGCAAACUUAUCAGUACACCCACAUAAAUCAGGUUGUGCGAAGAGAAAACCCCUUCUUCAGAUCCCACUUGUGAACCGCUGAAUUGGACUGGUUUUAAGAGGUUCAACCAUCCAGAUAAAUGGUCCAAUUGGGCUUUUAGAAAUUAUGGGUAUUUACUUGACCUCAGUUAUAUGCCUCAGUGGGUGACAGGUGCUGCUAUCCCCCAAGCACUUAUCAUAACCCUACAUCCUUCCCCAUAUUUGCCAAUAGAUAUCCUCAUCCCUUCACACUUUUACCAACAAAUAUCCUUAUCACUCCUAAACAAGGCAAUUACACAUCAAUUUUAAGCCAAAAUUUGUCUCAUCGUUUCUCCAAGACAUACAUAGAGGAGAGUGGGAAGCAAUUGAUCAUCUUCUAUCUUAUAACACUAUUAUUUAGGCAAUGCAUGGAUAAUUCAUCCUUCUUUUACUUCUAAAAGAUCAUGUAUUACCUCUUAUCUGUAGCUAUCUUAGUUGCCAACAUAUGUAAUUCUCAACUUUUUAAUGAUUACUAAUGCUAACGCUGAUAUAAGCAUAUGCUACUAUAAAUUAUGAAAGGCGAUCUAAUUUCUAAGUGGUCCAGGAGGUCAUGACCAAAUUCCUCCACUAUCCAGUCAUCUAGGCAGGCCCAGUAGCAACUGAUGACAAAAAAGAAAAUUAUUAAAGAAAUCUAGUAUAGCCAACUCAUCAAGACUCAAGCAACUGCAAAAUACUUGCAAAAUAGUUUACUGCAGCUCUGUUGAAUAGCAUAUCUAGUCACAUAUCAUAUAAAAUCAAAUUUUCAUCAGAAAGAUAAAAUGUAAAGCUACUUACAACUAAUCAGUCUUCCAGAUUACAUAUAUCAAAUGCAAGAAGCAAAAAUUUUAAAAAAAUGAUUAAAGUGAGAGAAAUAGCAUGACACUUACUUGCUUGGUCAGUGAUUUAUUUCUGUCCCUCUCAUAUUGCAAUUCAUCUAACAAGUCCUCCAUCUCCUUAAUUCUAUAAUAUUUGAGAAUAAGAUCAAUCAGUAAAUAACAUGCCCAGAAGACAAGCAAAUUUGUUAUAUAUUAUAGAAAAUAAUGCACCUUUUCUUCAAUGCCUCAUUCUCACGAGUUAGUUUCUCAAUGCUAAGAUUAGUGUCCUCGAAGCCAGUCCCAUGUCCAUUGCAUAUUGCAUCAGUUGCCUGCCAAUUCGACAGUAUUAUGAAAUGAAAAGAAUCUCCUCGAUUGGAUAAGAAUGAAAUUGACCUUUUUAAAGUGCAAUUCUUGCACAUUACAUAAUCAUCACAGACAGUUUCACAGCCACAGGGCAGAUCAAACUCUAUCACAAUGCAUACCCAUAUAUUGUACAUAUUUAGUUAGGUCAGACUCCUAGACCCAAUAUUUUGAUUGCAAGACCAGAUUUGUAUGAAAAUUGUCUUCACCAAGAUCCAAACAGCAUUGCUCAUGCUGACAUAACCAGUAUCCACAACAAUUUCCAAAUAAACAGGUAAAGCAACAAAUAUUAGAAAAAUUCAGAUCUUGUCAUACCAAACCCAAUAAAUCAGUAAGAAACCCAAUUAUACCCUGUAAUUGUCAAAAUAUUAUAGAAUAUAAGUAUAAAACAACAAUUAAGGCCCCAUUUAGAAUGCUUUUGGAGAGCUAAAAAGUGUUUCUUGGACCUUCAAAAAUACUUUCGAUCCAUUUGGUGGUGUUUGGAGCUUCUCCGCAAAAGCUCUACUUAACUGAUGUUAGGAAGUUGUGUUUGGUUUAAUGAAAUUUACAUAGUGACCAAAAUAUAGAUGCUAAUAUAUUUUAUUGUAUUGUAUUAUUACAUUAUAUUAUUAUAAUAAUAUAACAAUGUGUAGCUAUAUUAUAUCGUAUCAUAUCAUUUCUUACUAUAUUUUGAUACCAUACUAUAUUAUAUUAUAUUACAUUAUAUUAUAAUAAUAUUAUACUAUGUAACAAUAUUUUAAUAUGUAAUAAUGCAUUACUAUAUUAUAUUAUAUUAUUUAUAUUAUAAUAUUAUGAUACAUUAUAUUACAAUAUUAUAUUACAUGAUAACAUAUUAUAACAUGCAACAAUAUUUUAAUAUGUCAUAAUGUGUAAUAUCACAUUAUAUCAUACUAUACUGUACAAUACUAUGUAAUAUCCUUAAUUGUCAUUUUUUCGCACCAAAAGGACUUUCUCAGUUUGGUUACCAAACACAACACUUUAGGAAUGUAAUUACCACGCAACAAAUAACUUUUUUUUAAAAGCUCUACUAGCCAAAGCUCUACUUUUAAAAGCUCUACUUUCAAAAGCUCUACUAUCAAAAGCAAUCCCAAACGAGGCCUAAAAUAAUGGUUGAACUACACUCUCAUGUUCUUGGCUGCUUUUCUGGAGCAAAAAAGAUUUGAUACCCAUAGAAUUAAUGAUUGGAUGUAGCUUGAAUGAGUUCAAUGCAUAUAUUAUUGCUUGUCAUUGUUUCCCCCAAUGAUAUUACAUUUUAACUCUUACAAUUAUGCUAUUGAAAAAUAUCAGUAAAUUUGACAGCUUUCAAUGUCAAUUUACAAGAAUGAAUUCAUACAGAAUCAUUAUUAUUAGUUGUGUUCAGGUUGGGAUCCUACAUCUUUUAUCAGGAAUAUAAUUCAAGCCAUAUAAAGGUUUGAUCUAUUUUGUACAUCCAGCUCAUAGUUCAUACCAAAGAUAACAUCAAAUUCACAAUAAUUAGGAAAAUAUAAGAUUGAAUAUGAUACUGAACAGUAGAAUCAAGACAAGGUCGGAAAGAAACAAUAUCCUUCAAUUGACGGAGAAUAAACACACAAAAGAUAGAAAUAAUGAUUAGUCUUUGGUCACAUUUACAAUCUGACACAAUUUCUUAUGAAGCAUACUGUAAAGUUUUAUUUCAUCAAAAUGCGCAUGAAUAUGAAGUUGAAAAUGAUCAACAAUUCGAUUAAGGUCAUAGGUAUCACCUUUGUAUAUUUUUGGAAGGAUUUCUGAGGAGAUGCCUUUGAACCACCCAAUUCAUGUUCAGAUCUCCUAUCAAAUAUGUAUUCAGUCUCAGAAUCACUCAGAUCAGCUAAAGCAUGGGGUAUUCCAUGAAAAAUUGAUUGUGGAGAAUGGAACAUAUUUUCAAGCCUCUCAGCACCAUUUAAUCCAUUUUCUUUCAUAAAAGAAUCAUGUCCAUUCACACUUCUCAAAUUCUCCAGUUUUUCUGAUCCAACAGGUGGAGUGUCAGCUUUUCCCAUAUUGUGGUUCGAGGGUAAAGAGAACUUCUUGGUAUUUUGAUGCUUAAAAUUUUUUGAUUUGCUGACUUCAGGUGUCACCUUGCUUGGAGAAGUUUCCUUCCUCGAAUGCCUAAAUGAUGGCUGACAAGGAGCUUCCAGAGAUCUCACUGUCAAAAAGAUACAGACAUCAUAGUCGCAAAAAAUAUAAAAGUAUUUGAUGUGCAACAGGAAUCUUUCGCAUAGCUCGCAUUGAAAAUUGUCAAAAAUUCACCAAAUAAACUGCGUAUUCAUAUCAAUAAUGUAGAAGGAUUGCUUUAAUACCCCUAUCUUCUGAAUCAUUUACAAGUUUCUUUUUACACCUUGGAGCAUAGCCAAUUUGAUGGCAGUUUUUUGACCUGAAGGCAGUUUGAAACUUUAGAUAGAACUUAUUAUUAUGAAAUACCACCAUAAUAAUUAAUCUCCUCAAGGCAAAAUCGUGACAAAUAUAAGCACAAACCAGUAUUCUCUCUGAAACUUAACCAGACGUGCUUCAAGCCUUGAUAGCACAGUUGUGCGCUCAAAAUCUUGUUUGUCGUGAGCUGGUUCAACAAAAUUUGCCUCCAAGACACCUGUAACGGAAGUUUUAGAAAAAAAUUCAUAUACCAAUGUUAUGGAAAAAUAGAUAGUUGAAAAUGAAGUACCUAUUACUCCACGUCCAUCACUUCCUGCAGCAUUCCAGACCCUCCAAAAAGGCUGAUAAGAGAACAGAAGAGGUGCAUGAUAAGACGUCAAAACCAAAAGUUAGUGCAAAAGAAAAUGAUGAUUGACAGGGGAAAAUUCUUGAUGACAUCAAAUUCUAUAUUGCUAAGAGAAUCACUAUUUCCUUUUUGCCGAGAAGUAUCUACUUAAUAACCUCAAGGUUACGAAACAACAAGCUAGAUAAUUAAACCAAGAUCAGUGUUUCAGCCAAAACACUGAAAAUAACCCCCAAAAAACUUGCUCCACUCUGUCUUGGCUUAAUGAAACUGAUCUUUGAAGACGUGAUGCCUCCACUUUGUGGUUUUGACAUCUACUUUUUCUUCUAAAUUCAAUGGACCAUGAAAAGGAAAAUACCUCGACAGUCUCUAUAUCAGCAAAAGAAGAAUAACAAAACACACCUUUAUCAGCCGAUUCUUGUGAUAGACAUUAAAUCCUUGAACAUCAAUAUGAUCUUUUGCAUCCUUCACAAAACCAACCGUCACAACAGCAACCAUCUAAUUGAAAGAGGAUAGCCAGUCAAAUUGACAACCAUUAGCAAUUGCCAAAGCAAUUCAAGUAGAUGAAGGGCAAAAAAGUCAAAGAUGGAUUACAUUUGAAUCCUUCAGAAGUCCAUUGGCAACUGGUUGGGGCUUGUAAACGACUUCAUGCUUUAGCAGCAUAUCAUCCACAAGAUUGUGGUGUUCAACUUCCUUACCACGUAGGAUCAUUCUGAAACUAGGUGGAAUUCUGAGAUAAAGAAUCGAUGCAUAACUCUGCAAAUGGUGGCGAAACAUUUAAUUAGAUGAGAAUGCCCAUUCACAUCAGAACGAUGAACAGGUGAAUACCAUAAAUUCAUGAUAAGGUUGUUAUAAGAUGUAAUCUUGUUCUAGGAAUGAAUAAACUAUGGAACACCAAAGUUCAGAAAGUAGACACCCAAGGUCUGCUGAACCAACCUGUAUCGGCACCGGUCCAGUACAAAGGUGGAAAUUGGUUCCGACCCGAUUGGGUCGGAACCAAUCGGUUCAAGGCUCGUACCGAUGCAAACCGGCACCAGUACAUCCUCAUACCGGUGCGAACCGCUCGAUUCACACCAGUAGGGGGAGGGGAGGACAGCGCGUGGCUGUAGCCACGCGCUGAAGUGCCACAGCGCCAAAAAGUGGCACUUUUGAGCGCUGUGGCACUUUCAAAAGUGCCACAGUGCCAUUUUCGGAAGAGUGCCACCCUGUCACGCGCUGUGGCACCUUCAAAAGUGCCACAACGAAGAGAAAAUGGUGGCACUUUUAAGUGUUAUAUGCUGUGGCACUUUCAAAAGUGCCACAGCGCUGGCCGAAAGAAGAAGGCAGGGCCGGCAGGCGCUGCGUCCAGCGUGGCUGCCACAAUGCAUGCGUUCGGCUAUAAAAGCCGAACGAUGCAUCAGCCAAAGGCAGAAACAAGGUGAAAGAAAAGGCAGAGACGAAGGAGGAGGAAAAGAAGACAAAGGCGUGAAAAAAAUUGAGAAGGAGCCUAUCGGUACGUCGGUACACGGUACCGAGCGUACCUUGGACUAGUGACACCUUUGGUACUAACAAACCAUAUUCUUCCUCCUCUCUGGCUCAUACAAGUGCAUUAUUAUCACUUUAUUAUGCUUGUAAGUUAAAAUUUAGACCCCUCAAGAUCCUUCACCUAAUAUGCACUGCAGAACCUGAAUUACCAUUCUUGCUAAUUUAAUCUUUUCUCCAAUUAUCAAAGAGUAGGGUUAAACCAAGCUCAAUAUGCUACAUAAAGAGGAUUGAACAGGCUGUCAUAAGGGGAAGCUAGGGCUAUACAUGCCAAGUCAAACCUUAAUCAGAUUGAAGAAAGACAUUUCUCUCUUAUUUUUCAUUGUUUUGCAUAGGGUUCUUUCAACCUAUUUAGGAACUUUAGAUCCAGAAGCUUAUCUUCAUAAUCAAGCAUAUCAGUAUGUGUAGCGACAUUAUGAGGUUUUGGCACAUCUGAUCAUUUGUUUGGAGCUAUUUUUCUUCUAGUAUUAUUUGCAGUCUUGCUUUUAGUUUUAUUUGGUGCACAAACAUGUUGGCAAUGUUAGAUGCACUAAAAGGGAUGCACAGAAAGUGCUACUUUAAGCUGGUGGCAUCCAUAAAGUACCAGUGCAGAGAUAUAGGUCACUUAUAUACAAAAUAAAUAUUUUAUGAUAAAGAAGAAAACAUGCAAGGAAACCUUUUUUCUGUUCCUUCAAAGAGAAAAGACAAUCCAGGUAAGAACUACAUAGAGUAUACAGAUACAUUGAAGAUACAUACAUACACAUAUACAUAUAUAUAUAUAUACACACACAUGUAAAUAUACACAGAUAGUACACUGCUACGGCACUUCAGAAUCCUGAUUGCACUAGACGAAUUGCAACAAUAAUUUGCAUCCCACUGUGAGUGAUAUUUAUGCGAUAUUUAUUAACAGAAAUUAAGACAAAAAGUCAAAUAAGGUAACGCAAACAGAUAAAGUUCUCCACAUCAUUGUGAAGACAUUAACUAGUAGGUGAAUAUUACCAUUGUAGCCUUUGGCUCAAUGACGAAUGAGGAAGGAAAAAAAUGUUUAAACAGAGGUCUUCGUUUAACAUGACAAAAAAGAAGCAAAUAUCCGAAACAAAGGCUUAAGGGAAAGGCUAGAUAGGAAAAAAGUAGCAGGAAUUAUUAAAAUUUUUACAAUUGAUGGUACAUGUAUGAAGAUAGAUGCACAGAUUUUAUAAAAAUAUUUUAAUUUGCUAAAGAGCAAGGUGAUGGCGUUUGUGUUAAGAAGGUUGGAAAAAAAAAGUACACAAUACCCUUAGUGAAUGCCGAUAUGUCAGGAAAUGUCUGGAAUUAGGGAAUUUCUUGAACAUUUCUAUCUUUUUCUCAUCUCGGUUAACACCUCUAAUCUGGAUAUCCUGCCAUCAUUGAAAAACACUAGUUAGUAGUUACUAAUUGGAGUGAAAAAAAGAGAAGACAACCAAAUAACCGAUGAUACAUGCAACAAAUGGAGCUAUCCAGCUCUCAAAGCAGACAUCAGAUCAAAAAACUUGAUUAUACUUUAGCAUAUAACAACAGAGCUAGUCAGCUCCUAUUCAUUUCAAAGUCCAAUGAGAAGAGAUGAAGAGUCAGCAUAACAAGUGCAGUGACAAGAUAAGACUCACGUGAAUAUCAGCACCAAAAUCAAGUUCCAGCUCUCCUUGGUCAUCCUCCCAUAGAUUGUAUAUAACUAUUCGUGUUCCCUGAUCGGACAUUGAACUAAACUGCAAGAGUGGCAUUAAUAAAAAUAGUUAUUUAAGUUUGACACAUUUCAAUUUCAUGUUAAUGCUAAAAAAAUGCAAAAGAGAUAGCACAAAAAGGAUUGAGCUCAAAGAUAAUUAUAUUAGUUGCUAGCAUCUGAAUUACCCAUACAAGAACUAUACAGAAAGUACACCACUCAACUUGGAUACACCUGUCUAUAAUAAUCAUCAAAAGAUACGAAUUAACAUUCAUAUGUUCUAAUGGGGACUGAAAUCUCAUCCAAAAUGGAAGAAUAAAUCUAAUAUUUGUCACAUUUCAGUCCUAACCAGUAAAUACUAAAACGAAAAACAGAUAGGCUGCACCACCUCAUGAACCCAUAGAUCCGGCAGUAUACUCAAGUGGAGGUACAUCCAUCAUUAUUGUCCAUUCUCCAUUGCCUUCUUUUUCUCCCCUCUUUUUAUCCCUUAUUGUUGUUAUAAAUAAUCUGAACCACUGUGCAUCAAGGUUCACUUCACACACCUUUUUCUUUUGGCACUGGUUGGAGGGGUUAGAUUUUUUAUUUCAAAAGGUGAAGCUUUUAAAUAAGCUCAUUAUCUAUAAACUUUUAUUUUGAGGGAGAGGAAGAAAAAUGGAACUACAGUUACUUAUUCUCCAUCCUUCCCAAGAAGAUAGCUAACUGAAUGAUUAUAAAGCCCCUGAAGCACUUAGAUGAGCAAGAAUAUUUAUUCUCCAUCCUUCCCAAGAAUAUUUUGAGGAAGCAUGUAGAUGUAAUAGUGAAAAGAGUGUUAAAGAUGUGGUUGUAGUAUGAGAAGGGAGAUUCACCUGUUGAAGAAGAUCAGCUUCACUGAAAUAUGGAGACCACUGUAUAAUAGUUUCUAAAUUAUUAUUCCAAACUGAAGAACACCGCUUCAUCUUACUCCAAGCAUCCCCUUCUUUCUCAUAAUCAAUCUGCAAGAAACAAAAAUGCAUGACAAUUAAGCCUCUUAACAAAUUGACAAUGACAUGAACAACAAAAUUUACCAACCGUAAAUGUAAACCAUUAAUCCAGAGUCCCAGACAUUGCUGUUCAUAUAUAAAGGUUGCAAAAGGAAACUGGCUAUGACACUUAUAUAGCUUACCCAGUUCUAUACCCUAGUCUAAAUGCCAGUCAAUUUAAGAGACUAGUUUCUGUAAAACUCUGACAAAUUUGGAUCCCAUUAAAAUGGACCAGACCAAACUAAGGAGUGCCUGGAAAUAGGGGCUGCCAUUCCAUUCUAGUCUAAUCCAUUCCAUCUCAAGACCUGAUAAAAGUGUAUCAAAAUUACAGACCCAAAAUACGAUGAGGUUAGCCCUCAGGGAUGCAACUCCUGACAAAGUAAAAAACUUGCAGAAUAUAUAUUUCCACAAAAAUAACUGACAGCCAAGUACCUAAGAAAUACAUAUUAUAUCUGAAAGAUUCAAUAUGACCUAGAUAACAAGGACACUUCAUGGAAUAUGCAACAAUAGGCAUCAAGCAUAAAAUACAAUAUCUAGCUUUAAGGGAGCUACGCCAUAUAAUGAGUUUGAUGCAUGAUUAUCCAGACACAAAAUAUUCUCAAGAGAAUACAAAGUCUUGAUUUCUAAAAUGAAGCUAUAUUAUCUCAUUUUUGUAAAAGUUUCAAACAAAAUGCUUAUUAUGGUUGUUUUGACAUCACAACUGCAUAGGUUGUCCAGAGAAAAGCUAAAAGCCACUCUCUGCUUCAAACCGAGCAAGUCAAUGCUCACACUUUACUUGCCAAACUGAAAAGAACAUCGGAAAAUAAUUUAAAAUUGUUUCCGGCACUUAUCACAUGAAUGCACUCAUAUACUAUAUGCAUGCAUAUAUUUUACAGCAAUUUUUCUGAACAUUGCAAGUGAUUCCACAUCUUGGAAAAAAAUGAAUGAGGUUAGUUUCCCAAAAAGAUUCCACAGUGAAUAUGCGAGGGAAAUGUAAAGUUGUAGAAGUGUUGCAAAUCAACUGCAACCCAUGUUACAUUUGAGAGACUGUAUAUGCACAGUCAUAUUAAACAUUAAUGAGUUGGUAUCCACUGCAAAUAAGCAUCUUAGAUAUUGGCAGAAUGAGAAUUUUACAUAAGUUACUCUAUCAGUAAUUUCAAAAUAAUUGAUAAUAAUUUAAGGAUCUUCCAAUAUGCUUACAAUAGGAACUACGAUAUCUUCUUUCCCUGUGGUCCUCAAAAAUGUGUAGGACAACAUUCCAAUGCUCUGUGUGGCCCUAGGAAACAAAAACUGAAAUAUGUUAGUUAAUUCUUAUUGAAAGAUAAAGAGAAUCAAGGACCACAUCACAAUAAUUUGAUAUCACUAGAACAAAGUAGACUAACAUCAAUUUAAAAUUUUAAAAUAACAAAAAAGAGGAAACAUCUGUCAAAUCUGGUAAGAGAUGAAGCCAAGUCUCUCAGAUAAUAUGAGCACUUAGUCAAGAGAAGAAGAGAAAAAUUACUAAAGGGACCCACAAAAAAAAACCAGUAUAAUCAGUAAUAGAAUGAUUUUGAAUUAUAAGGUGCUAUAACUGAUGAGAAUCAUCAAAAUUCAUCGGUGAAUAAGCUAAAAUUCAAACAUAAUAACGAGACACAAGAAAUCGUCCAUGAGAAGCAAUGAUGCUCAUAAUGAAUUUUUUGAGGCCUAAGCAUGCAAUUCAUAGUAAUUGGUAUUUAUUUCGUUCAAUCAUGUAACCCUACAUCACAUCAAACCAAGCUUUGCAAUCUUGGAUGUAUCAUAGCUUACCGGUAGGGUAACGAGACUCAGUAUGUCCCUAUAUUGAGUGUUGGUACCAACGUAUGUACUGCACCGACACUCAGUGGGGUGUAAAGACACUCGAUAUGUGGUCUGUUAUCGAGAUUGAAAACCUUGCACCAAAUCAGCAUACAUAGAAAAGUCUGAUCAUGAUCGAGUCGUACAACAAGACAUUUUAAAUUCAGCAACAAGAUAUUUUAGUAUAUUCAAGAUACUUACAAAUCAAACUCCAAAUUUGGUCACACUUUGCAUGCCAAACCAUAUUAGGUUUUCACCUUAAUUCUUUCCAUACAACUCUCUCUUACCUAGGGAAGUAGGAGAUGUCCACGUAUUACCAAUUAAAAACUUGUCAAAACUAUCUAUUACUUAUCUAUGAUACAACUAUAAAAUGUGAAAAAAGGCAUUCAGGUUUUUAUAUCCCAUGGACUAAAAUACACAUGCAAUCAAGGUUUGCAAUCUUGGUGCUGAAACCUUGGUACGCCACUUGUAUUGAAUAUCGAUUCAAUAUUGAUACGGUACGAUAUGCCCAAUACGACAUUGCAAUUAUUGUCAUUUCUAAUUCCAACUUUGUAGUAAUUAUGAGUCUUAGAAACCCAACUUGCAUGGAUAUUUGGGUUUAGGGUAGACUAUAGACCAUGACACAUCAAGCAAUCCCUUUUACUCUAAAGAUAAAUUAAGAGACAAUGCUGGACCGUGAAAGAAUCAAAUUGAGUACAGCAAGUUUAUUCAAAGCCUGAUGUAAGCAAAACAUUGCAAGACCAGAUAUAAUGAAGAAAAAAUGUUGAGCCUAUAGCCAAGCAAUCUAAAGCAUGUUCACUAGGAGGAUAGUUGGAGGAUCAAUAAGGAAUAUGAAGGGCACUAUCAACCUGCACUUGGUAGUUAUAAUUAUGCUAAUACAAAUGAUGAUUUUGAUCAAAUAUAGUGAAUAGCUAUGUCCACCCCUGGAAGAUGCAUCGUCUUCUCAAAAUAGAAAAAGAAGACUUGUUUAACUAAAUCAACAGCAAAAUUGUUUUUUUAUAGCUCUAGCGGUAUUGUUAUAGAGGUGAAAUGGCUGAGAUUUCUUUUUUUUAGCAAAGUCUCAAUAGCAAUAUUCACAAGCCAUAUGUUAUAGAUUGAUUGCAUCAUUCACAAUACUAGUUGGUACUUGUACCGGAACCAUGCUGGUACAGCAUCAAUAAGGUCGGCUUGUAGUACCAACACUCAGUACUUGGUAUGCCCCUUGUACCAAGUGUUAGUUUGCUAACAGUAUGAUAUGGUACGCCCGAUACUAGAAGACACUAUCUGGCAUGAUGAACCAUGCCUUGUGAAUAAGUUUUUUGAUAGAAAUGUGAGAUACAUUAGACUGAAACACAACGCAAUCAGGGAGCUCAAGAAGAGGCAUCAUCCCACCACUAGACACAAGGCCAUUUGAGAACUGAAGACAUCAGGAUAAAAAGGAAUUUGAUCCUAGUAGAAGCAAAAAAGCAACGCAUUAACAUAAUCCAAAGACGAAGGUUUCAAACAACAAAUAAGCUAAAAUAACCAACCAACUGAACACUUGUUAUACUUGUUUAUAUAUAUUGAUAACAUGAUGCACCAAAUAACGUACAUACUUUACCCUGAUGUCUUAAUGCAUCUUCAUUUACUUAUGAAUAGGAGAGCUUCCUUUGACCCUUUAGGAGAUCAUAAAAAUAGUGAUGACUUGUACUGGUUUUGUGCCUUAAUAAUCAAUCACAUGUAGCACAACAGUUUUACUUGUAUCCUUUAGGAGUUCACCUAAUUGAUCAUGGUCAUCUCUUAUAUUUAUCACAGAAAUACAGUAGAGUGCUCAAUGAACAUAGGAAGAGCAAAUGUUAACCACAACUCAAAAGCACAUGAAAGGACAAGCGUGAGUGCUCAUAGAACAACAUAGGACAAUAGCAUUUCAGUCAAAACCUUAUUGCAAAAAAAUGGCUUUUCUUGGUGAGUGCUCAAUGAAAAUAGGAAGAGCGAAGGUUGACAGCAACUCAAAAGCACGUGAGACGACAAGUGUGAGUACUUCAUAGAACAAUAUAGGAAAAUAGCAUUUCAGUCAAAACCUUAUUAAAAGAAAUGGCUUUCAUUGGUGCUUCCACUGAAUCUACAUAGUUUCAGCCUGUCAAUCAACAUGCACACUGGCAAACCAAGGGCCAAGGACACAAUAAGUGGUUCUAUGGUGCACCUUGCAAUUCAUAUGCCACUGAGAUGCCUACUUGAGUUGCACCAAAGCACACCCAAUAUUUUCCCUCGCUGCAGCCCAGGAUGGCAUGAUUUGGCCCAGACCACCUUGGCUAUCCAAGAAGAAGCCUUGGUGGGACCCUAUGCAGCUCAGUCUAACAUCAGUUCAAUAAUUGGAUAGGAAUAAAUCAAGCAGUCAUGAUUGUCAUUUGCAAAACUAGGAUCUCAAGCUUGAGGAGCAUGCUCAUAUGCUUUGUUGAAAGUGAAACUUGCACAUGGAUGUACACAUGUACAUGUGGGCAAGCAUUGCACGGCACAUAUGAGCAAACAAGCACUUGUAAGAUCGCUGUACAUGUAGAAUUAAAAGAUCGUGAACCCUAAUGUGACAGCCCCUAACUACUUUAUGUUACAUCUAUGACACAUAAGCAGCCUUAGACAGCCAACUCGAUACAUGUUUGGGGACAGUCAACACUCUUUACAGCAGUUUGAGAGAAAGCUUUGAAGAGAUUGAUAUCUCGAAACUCUUUGAUAGCUUAAGUGAAAGUCAACAUAGAUUUCAUGAGACACGAACACGAUACUAAAUUAAGGAACUUGCAACCCUAAGCUAAAUCUUGGACUUGAGUUUGAACUUAAGCUUGCUAGGAGCUGAACUUGUCAAAGUGGACAUUACAUUAGGGUAGGUGAGCAUUACCUUCAUUUAUCCAAUAGGCACUAGGCCUCAAAUCCUGGAAUGGGUCUUAAUUUACCAUUUGUAUGGGCAAAAUAACAGCCUAACAUUAGUUAAUGCUAAUGUGAUUUCACUUCAAUUUAAUUUACACAACUAUAAAAAGUGCUUUUGUUUAUGGUAUCAAAACUCCUUGAUUUACUUCAAAGUACAAAACUCCCACCAUAGAGAGAUGGAUAUGGGUAUGACACUUGGGUACAGGUGUAACAACCCAGGACCUUAUGGCGAGCCGAAAAGUAUUAUUUGGGUUCCUUGAUCAUGUAUAAGUACCCAAGGUCUACCCAGCGAAUAACCGAUGUNNNNNNNNNNNNNNNNNNNNNUGGAUCCUCACAUACUCCCCCUCGUUUAAGCCCUGAUGUUCUCGUCAGGCUAAAGGCUCAAAGCCACUCAAAUCUAAUCACAAGUACCACGAUCGGCCCAUGGUCAGCCUCAAUUAGUGUCCCCUAGUCCAUAUAGGUUAUAGGCCGGAUUCGUUCUGAUACCAUUUUGUAACAACCCUAGACCUCACCCAAAAUGGCUAGCCAGAAAGUAUUAUUUGGAUUCCUUGAUCCUGUAUAAGUACCCAAGAUCUAUCCAACAAAUAACCAAUGUGGGACUAAAUACACGCCCGCAUGGAUCCUCACAACAAGUACGCAAUAAGAAAUUCUUAAAACAUAGAAGGAUAUAAAACCUAAAUACAUACACCUCCAAAUCAAUGCAGUGUAGGCUUUUGUACAAGCUAAAACAGAUAAUUUGGUAAAGUGGCAAAAGAGGUAGAUAUUAUGUAACAAAUAAUGUUUGAGUAAGAAAACAACCUUUGCCCAUGUUUUCCACAACUACGAGAGAAGACAAUGACGUCAGCCCCUAGCCUCAUAGUACUUGUCUUAAAGCCGUUUCCAUCUAAAAAAUCAUAACACAAAAAAGAAUAAAAGGAAUAAUAUUUUUACCCCAAAAUCUUCUAACAAAAACAAAAGAAUACAUUUUUUGUGCUAGUAAUAAGACUCACAUUGUCCAAUAGUAUUUGCUGAUUUGCUUUUCAAUGAAUAGCCCAAAGACAUGCACUGCCGCAUUCCAUCUGGAUCCAUUCCACCUCCAUCAUCUGUAUACAUAUAAAUGACUACAUGAAAAACAUGGUAUAAAAAAUCUGCAAAAUCAUUUUUCUGCACAUAUAUGAUUUUUCUCUUAAAACUUGUCUUAACCAAACCUUCAGCUCCCUCAUAAAACAGAGGCCUAAGAUGCACAUGUUUGAAGCAUCUGUCCUCUAUAGUUGCUACCCAAAAGUUUCGUCUACCAUACUAGCUCCACAUAUAGCACUCUCAUCCAUACUGCACCCAUCUUUUGUUCAUAAUGAUGAAUUUAUGCACAAAGCAAGCUUUAACAACAUACUCUCCUUGUAAAUGGCACAUGCACUUUCCCAGCACAUGAUACUAGAAUAAAUGAUAGUAUAUGGUGAUAAGCUCACAGCAUGGCGACAACAAUACAUGUUCACAAACAAAAACGAAAUGAAAAUAUUCCACCACCUCAAAUAUGAAGUAAUUUAGUGAAGAUUGCAUCACCUGACAAUGGAGCACUUUUGAGAUAGUUACAAAAUUUAAUCUCAAGCGGUAAAGGGGAAAAACGUCAUACCUUCAACUAGCAACAUUUUAGUUCCACUUUUUCUAUUCUCCAACAUAUCUAUAUUCACGAAUGUAGCUCCAUUACAAACCUGAAUGUAAAAACAUAUAAUUCAGAAGACAAAGUGAAAAAGUACAUAUGCACCAUUGUAUGGUUCAAGAAGUUGACUAAAUUCAGGUACCUCAUCCAAAGAAUUGUCCAAAAGCUCAGCCAAUGCUGUUGGGGUAGAAAAGAAGAAAAUUCAGUAAGGUAAUGAGUAUGACAAUCUAAUUGUUUGCAUUCCAUGAUUUCUGUGCAUAAUUUCCAACAUAAAAAUAUAAUACACAUAGCUAUGAAAGUAAAGACACAUUCCAACUAAAAGCCAAACAAUUAUGUAGUAUGAACAGCUAUCAGUAUAUCAUUAAGAUAUAUAUAUAAAGAGAGAGAGAGAAAGAGAAUAGUUCUGCAUAUAUGUAUACAGGUAUGUAUACAUGUAUGUAUAUACGUAUGUACAUAUGUAUGUAUAUAUGUAUGUAUAUAUGCAUGUAUGUAUGUAUACAUGUAUGUAUAUAUGUAUGCAUACAUGUAUGUACAUAUAGAAGGAGGGAGAGAUAUAGGCUUGGCUACACUCUCUUUCAGGCUUCCAGAUACAGUCGUCUCUCCUGCUGUUAGAUCAACAUGCAUCUUGAACUCUAGAAAGCAGUGGUUAAUAGCAGGCACUCACUGUAACAUCUAAAAAAGCAAAAAAAAAAGACAGCAUUAAUAGGAUGGGACAGCAUUCAUGCCCAUGGUAUGCCAUACAGUACCGAACCAGACAGUACGUGGCAUAUCGUGUCGUACCAGUUCGGUACCGAUACACAGUAUGGGAGGCAUACUGACACUCCGUAUGCCGAACCGGCUCUAUAUCGUACCGUACCAACACAUUGAUAGCAUGACACUAGUAUGGAGCUCGGUACCGAUAUGGUGUACCUUGCUUAUGCCUUUUCCUCCUCUCUCAGUACAGUACUCAUGCCUUAAUGUGUUGGGACAUGACAUGCCACCCACGCCCAUGCCCAUCCCUCGAAGAAACACCCCAUCUACGUGUUGUGGCUCUCUCUCUCCCCCCUCCCUAUGCUAGAUCCUUUUCUUUUAAUUUCUGCAUGUUUGUAUUUAUUCCAUAGACUAGAUUUACCAUCUGGUGGUUAGUGUUUAUCAUGGUCACCUUAGUGUUUAUUUCUACAAAGUCAGUGUCUACUUCCAGUAGGUCAGUGUUUAUUUUCAAGCACUUAAUAUUUACUGUCUCCAAACUUUCUGUUUAUCCUCCUUUGUUGUUGUUUACUACGAGGCAUCCCUCAUCUGGACAAUAGUGGCUAAAUCUUUUUCUAUUUAUUUUUGCAAGGUUUGUAUUUAUUCCCAUAGACUAGGUGUUUAUCGUUAUGGGGUUAGUGUUUAUCUUAGACACCUUGGUGUUUAAUUCUAUAGGGUGGAGGAGAGAGGGGUAGAGAGAGAGCACAUGGGCAGAGCGCAUCCUGAAAGAUGGCCGCAAGAGUGGGCGGCGUAUCCUGUCCCAUUAAUUAAUGCUUCUCUUUCUUUCUUAAUGAUUCAAACCCGUUAAUAGCAAUUUGGUGGCUUCAAGAUGCACACCAAUCGGACGAUUGGAGAGCCAAAUAUAUGUAUGUAUGUGUGCAUGUAUGUAUGUAUGUAUGUAUGUAUUUAUGUACAUGUAUAUGUAUAUGUGUGUAUAUAAUCCUGUAGUAGCGGCAAGCCAAAUAAGAGCAACCCAAAUCGUGAAAACAAGGUUGUGGGAGAGCAAGCAAGUGUCGUGCUGCUAGGUGAAGCGGUGGAAUGUUGCACUCUAGAUGACGAAAGUCCGACAGCUGAAAGCAUCACUAGCUUAUGCUCUGACCCGAGUAGCAUAGGGCAUGUGGAAUCCUAUGUGAAUCAGCAUGGACCACCUUCUAAGGCUAAAUGCUCCUAGGUGACUUAUAGCGAAAUAGUACCAUGAAGGAAAGGUAAAAAGAACACCAUUAGGGAGUGAAAUAACAUAUGAAACCGUGAGCUCCCAAGGAGUGGGAGGAGAAUAUGAUUUUUAAUCGCAUGCCUAUUGAAGAAUGAGCCGGCAACUCGUAGGCAGUGGCUUGGUUAAGGGAACCUACUAGAGCUAUAACAAAAGCUAAUCUUCAUAGGGCAAUUGUCACUACUUAUGGACCCGAACCUAGGUGUUCAUCCAUGACCGGGAUGAAGAUUGGGCAAAACUAACUGAAAAUCCAAACUGGCUAAUGUAGAAGAAUCAGUGGAUUAGUUGUAGUUAGAGGUGAAAUGCUACUCAAACCCAAAGCUAAUUGGCUCUUCCCAAAAUGCAUUGAGGUGCAGCAGUUGAUUGGACAUCUAAGGAUAAAACACUAUUUUGGUGUGGGCCACGAGAGUAGUACCAAAUUGAGGCGAACUCUGAAUACUAGAUAUAAUUCCAAAAUAGUAAGGGUCAAGGUCGGCUAGUAAGACGAUGGGGGAUAAACUUCAUCAUCGAGAGAGAAACAGCCCGGGUCACCAAAUAAGGCUCCUAAAUGACCGCUCAGUGAUAAAGAAGGUAAGGAUGCAGAAACAGCCAGGAGGUUUUCCUAGAAGCAACCAACCUUAAAAGAAUAAAAAAAAUUUGAUAGGUAUGCUACAUAUAGAUAUAAAUUAAAAAAAAAAAACUGAUACGUAUACUACACAGCCACCCUUGAAAGAGUAAAUGCAACAUAUCAAUAUCAAGUAAAAAAAUUCUUGAUAGGUAUGCUACAUAUAGCUAUGAAAAGUAAAUAUACAUACUAGCUAAAAGCCAAACAACUUUUCAGUACAUAAUAGCAUGCAUACGUCAUUAAGAAAUAUAUAUGCAACAGAUAUAGUCUCUAGCUAUAAAUACAGAAAGGCAUAUCAAUAUAGAGCAAAACAAAUUCAAGAUAGGUUGUACUAGUUAAGUGUUACCUCCAAGAGCCCAUUUAUGACUUGUAGCAUUUGAGUGUAGAAACUUGGGGUGAACCCUCACAUGAUCAAUACCAACUGCCAAAAUAAAUCAUUGACUUUAAGCUUUCUGACCAAUUAAUAUGUUUAAAAAAAGACAAACAGGACUGCAAAACUAUCUUACUACAUAUUCAGUUCAAAGAUAUCUAAAAACUAUCAAUCAUACAUUAUCAAGUAACCCAUUUAUCCAUAAGUAACACCAGAUAUAACCCUAAAUAGGAUUGUUUGGUGAAUGAGGAUCCAUAAAAUCAACUCAAUAUAGUUGGUACAAGGCUUGAUGGUUAAGGUCAUAGUCAUGGUUACAUUAUCGAGAAAGUCACUUAUGCAUAGUAAUAAAAUAACAUAUAGAAGCCACAUUUAAGGUGUGUCAUACCGUACCAAAUCAGAUGGUACAGAUGUACCGUACCAUACUGCUUCAGUAUCCAUAUGUGGUACAGGGGACAUACCAACACUCGGUAUGCCAAAUCGGCCUCCGUACCAGGCGUACCAACACAGUAAUAAGGUGGCACUGACGCAUACCUUAGCCACAUUUUUUUUUCACUCUACAACCACCUUCAAUCCUUAUUAAAAUCAUCAGAUGCUUACCCCAAACAAAACUGAAUCAAUAGCACUUUUGUUUUUAAAGAAUGGUGAGGGGUUCUAACCCAACACCAUACCCUAUAUCCUUGACCAGCCCUUCUCCUGGGCGAUACAUAAGUCCUGGGCAGACCAAGCUUAAUUCUUUCUUGAGAAACAAGGGCUCCAAAGGAAGGUUUACUUUCUUCGGCCUCGUACCCCUGCCACUUGCAGGGGAUAAUACCAUUUGAACCAAGGUCCGCAAUCUCGGUACCAAGUACCGCAUCGGUACCUUAUUGAUUCGGUAUGGUACGGUAUAGUACAAUCCUGUAUCGAAAUAGUUUUCUAUCUAUUUUUCUUAGUUUUUGUCUCGAUACACCUGGAUGCAGGUCAGUACGCCUUAGUACAAGCUGGUACGCACUUUGCUAUACCUCAAUACAGUGUGGUACGGAGCUUGUACCGACUUGAAGCUAAGUUUUGUACUAGUUUUCUCCAAAUAUGGUACACCCCAUACCGGGCGGUAUGGCAUACCAUGAUCUGAACUAAUGUUUGGUGGUAACAAUCAAAACACAUGAUAAUGAAAAUCCCAAUGAUUUGUAUUGAGAGAUAUUAAAUGUUACAAUCACCCAUGAUCCUUACCAGAGUUGCAAUUUUGUAAGUUAAUUAUAAUAAUAAUUCUGGAUCAUCCACAUCAUAAUGCGCCCUGGUUUUCUUUCCGAUAAAACUAUCUUUGUGUUGCUAAAGACUUUCACCCACAAAAUUAGUAUUUAUAGCAUCCAAUGAAACGCCAAUAAUCCUCCAACAUUGCACAUCAGAGCAAGACACUAAUAAUCUAAUUCCACUAGAAAUUAUAGCAUCAAACAAAAAACAAAACAUCAAAGAAAAAAGAAGGAAAUCAAAAAUACCAGAAAAGGAAGUCGAAUCGUCCAUCGGCAGUCCCUCGUACUCCCCUGCAUUCCAGAAAUUCCGGCAAACCCGUACCACCGACGGCUCCGGCAAUGCAAAAGACAUCGGCAUGGGCAUAAGGAUCGGCGCCAGAGCCGGCGCUAUCGUCGCCAGAGGCGGCAUCUCCGGCGUGAAGGGGUCAAGGAAACCGAGUGUCAGCACGUCCGUAGGGCUGUCCUCCGCUUCCAACUUGGGCCGCUUCAUCACAACUCCCUCCCCGAAAGCUCUAGCCCUCUUCCCGAGGCCCUUAUCGCCGUCGUCGCGGGCGUUGGGCUCUGUUUCGCUCAUGGUGAGAUGGAUCAUCUCCGCCGCGGCCGGCGGCACCGCCGUUCCGAAGGACCUCUCCGCCGCCUCGUCCGCCUCCACAACCGAACCCAUGAGAGAGCGCGAAGGAACGAGAGCACGAAAGAUGGGGAGAAGAGAAGGCGAGAGGGGUUUCGUUCUAAUACGGGUUCAAGAACGGGGUUUCCCAGUUUCAAUGGAAGAGUUGCAAUGGUGGUACGCUUUGGGUAGGCUUCAAAGCGGAAAAACUUAUUUCCUUAUCAGAGUGAGAUCAAUACACGGAGGACAUCAAGAAUCGUGAUUUCCGUAGAUAACAUAAUUUCCUGAAACACGAAUUCUGAAUCUGUACCUGUCGAACAUCUAGUCGGUUGUGAAUUAAAAUGUCCGAGAAUCCCGCGGACGUGGAUCCGCAGUGGAGGGAGGGAGGAGGCGGUUUCGGCAGUUUGGAAACGAACAGAUUUUAUAGGAAGCCCCUCGUUUGGAAAAUAAUUUACAAGGGAGUCUACCGUUUGUGUUUCCAGUGUGCCGCCGAAGUUGUUUAGUCGAGAAGGGCUGACCGUCGGAUGUGAGAUUUGAUGCCUUGGUUUAUCUUGAUGUCCAGGUGGGGAUUUUUGAUUUGGCACUUAGUAAAGCCAUAAAAUUUUUAGUUUGGAAUGGACAUACAAGUUUUUUUUUUUUUUUUGUAUUGUCCUCCCUAAAAUGGGAACUCAAAAGGGCCAAAUUUUACGGCCAAAGCUCGAUUUAAAAUAAAUAAAAUUUAGGCCUAAAGCUCAUGAUCGGCUCUACGUGGAGGCUAGUAAUGGAAUUCUUUUUAAAUUUUGUUGUUUGAGAAGAGCCGCUUAAGUGAAUGAUUCCCGAGGGAUAGGUGAACAAAGGUUCUCCCCAAGUUCAUUUAAGUUAUUUAGUUGAGCAAGGAUUUAUUUAAUAUACUAUAUUUUUAAUCUAGAUAAAUUUAUGUUUGUUAUGGUCAACAUUUUGAAGGGUUUGGGACUCCUUUAUAUGGAUAAAACGGAAAUCCUAAUUUCACGAGAGCUCUCUAAGAGAUCAUUAUUUAAAGAAGUAUGAUUUAUAUCACAAAUAAAAGAAAUAAAUCUAAUCAAUUCUAUUAGGGGAAUUGAAAAGUUGGGAGAUCCCAGCUCAAGAAGAGCUCUCUCGUUGGACUCCUCAAAGUUCAUCAACUUUAGGAUCUUUUCCUAUAAGAGCUUAGCAUGUUUUGUAUCCCUAAGAGAGAGAACUAAUAGGGCUAUUAUGAGAUUGAUAAGUUUGAGAAGAUGCCACUUUUACAUAGUGCAAUGAUGUGAUAAACUUAAGUCUUAAUAUAAUCAACAAAUCACCACAAUUUUAGAUUUUUGGAGGACAAGAGACACUACACAUAAAAUUAUCAAAAUCCCACCUCCUUAAUUAGGCCCUGCAACCCAAUUGGGUCACCAUGGGUUGCAUAAAACCUUAAGAGCCAUCCUUUACCUCCAAGAAGUGGCUUAGUUAAGGAUUGUUCCAAAUUAUUAGGAAGACUUCAAAAUUAAUAUUAAAAAGAUAUAUAUAAGAUCUAUUUGAAAAAAGGUGAAAGAAAUAACAUUUUGUAGAAUUUAUCUAUUUUAUUCAACACUUUAAUUUUUCUCCUCAAUCUUUCACUUUGUUAGGAUAUCCAAUCCUAAAUUUUUAACAAUUGAUCCUAUUUUCAUUUCAUUUUUUGAAAUAUAUAAUUGACGAGUGAAUUUCUAUUUGGGUGGGUAGGGUGACUAUAAGUCCAUUAAAAAUAAAAAGGUUAGAUAUGGAUUGUUUUCUUUAAACUUGAAUAUAGAUGAUUUAGGUAUAGAUUGAGAAUUUUUAGCCAGCCUAACCUAUUGUUAUCCCUACCAAAAUCCAAUGGAUUAAGAUGCCAAACCUUAUAGAAUCACACAAAGACUGAGUUUGCACUAAGACUUUCAUCUUAGCUUAAAUCUCAGAUUGUGUCAGUUUUCAGCAUCUAUUAUGUUAGUUGAUAUGAAUUGACAAAUUCUAAUAUAUUUGCCGAUGGGGUAUACAAAUAUUUAUAAAUAUUCUUCUAUCAUGGUUUAACUUUUCUUUUAAAAAAAUAGUUGAUAAAUGAAAAUCAAAGUCUAAAAAUAGUUGCUAAUCCAAGGUUUACUAUGUUGACCGAUAUUCGAAUAUCUCAAACUUAUAAUAUUGGCGAAGAUAUUGAAAAAUCUUUCAUCAUUCUAAGUUCACAUUUCAUCCUUAAUGAAUAUAAUUGAUAUCUUAAUUCAUCUCGGUCUCCAUCACCCAUCAAGAUAAUUGAUAUCUCAAUUUUUGAAAAUCUUAAUUUGCACCUUUCAGGACAUUGUGACAACAUUUUUUUCAAGCAAGACUAUAAGACUUAUUAUAUUUAUAUACAUUGUAUCUUUUCUAUAUUAAAAAAAACUUUGGGGAGGUUCUUUGAUUCUAGCAAAUCUGCCGAUAAAUGGAAUAUCUUUUGAAUCACAGAUAAAAGUUCAUUAUAUAAUAAUCAUCGAUUGGGUAGUUUUGGAAACAUAACGUUUAAAUUUUUGGGAUUUUCUAAUGCCCCAAAUUUCUCUCUCUAUCCUGAAUAACUUUUUUUUCUAACAAACUUAUUUCUCCUCUAUCAUUCUAACAAGUUCCUCCACCUCCGAUCUCUAUCUAGUAUUUUAAUUUUUAACUUUUAUGUUCUUAUUUAUCUAAACUACUUAUUAUUGUUAACUAAUUUAUUUUUUAACAGACGUCCAUAGCGCAUGUCCAUAUUAAUGACUUUAUUUUUUAUGGAAAACUGGAUUAUUUUUUAUUAUAUUCUUUUAUGUAAAAUACUAAAUAAGAGUCCUAGUUGAAAGUAUUUUUAGUUAAAAUACAGGUUCACAUUUUUAUGGAAAUCCCAUUUUCAUUUUUAUGGAAAUCUCGGUUAUUUCUUAUUAACUAUUUUUACAUAAAAUACUUAAUAAGGGUCCUAGUCGAAAGUGUUUUUAUGUAAAAUACUUAAUCAAAGUCCAAAUCAAAGGUGCUUUAUAUAAAAUACUUAAUAAAAGUCCAAGUUGAAAAUAUGUUCAUAUUUUUAUGGAAAUCCUGUUUUCAUUUUUAUGAAAAUUCUGGUUAUUUCUUAUUAAAUAUUUUUGUAAAAAUACUUAAUAAGAGUCCUAGUUGAAAGUAUUUAUAUAUAAAAUACUUAAUAAGAGUUCAAGUCAAUAGUAUUUUUAUGUAAAAUACUUAAUAAGAGUCUAUUUUUAUAUAAAAUACUUAAUAAAAGUCAAAGUCAAUAUUUUUAAUUACAAUACACAUUCAUGUUUUUAUUUAAAAAAUGAUUAUUUCUUAAUAUGUGUGUAACAAUCGAGGACCUCAUCCAAAAUGGCUAGCUAAAACGUAUUAUUUGGGUUUUUUGAUCCUAUAUAAUUACCCCAAAUCUACCUAGCGAAUAACCGAUGUCAGACUAAACACAUGCCCGCACGGGUCCUCAUUAGUGUAAGGAUUUAAACCUAUUUAAAUCUAAUCACAAGCAUUACAAUCGAUCCAUAGUCAGCUCCAAUGUAUCCAUGCUGCAAUGCUUUCUAGUCCACAUAGAUUAUGAGUCAGGUUCUCUCUGAUACCAAUUGUAACAAUCCAACACCUUACCCAAAAUAGCUAGCCGAAAGGUAUUAUUUGGAUUCUUUGAUUCUAUAUAAGUACCCCAGAUGUACCCAGCAAAUAAUCGAUGUGGGACCCACAUGGGUCCUCACAAUGUAUUUCUACGUAAAAUACUUAAUAAGAGUCAAAGUCAAAAAUAUUUUAAUAAAAUACACGUUCACAUUUUUAUGCAAUUCCAGUUUUGCUUUUAUAAAAAUUCUGGUUAUUUCUUAUUAAACAUUUUAUGUAAAUUACUUAAUAAGAGCCCUAGUUGAAAGUGUUUUUAUGUAAAAUACUUAAUAAAAGUUCAAGUAAAAAAUAUUUUUAACUAAAAUGCACACUCACAUUUUUAUGGAAAAUCCGAUUAUUUCCUAUUAUAUGCAAUAUAUGUAAAAUACUUAAUAAGAGUCCAAGUCAAAAAUAUUUUUAAUUAAAUACAUAUUCAUGUUUUUAUGAAAAUUCCAUUUUAGUUUUUAUGAAAAUUUUGGUUAUUUCUUAUUAUACAUUUUUAUGUAAAAUAAUUAAUAAAAGUCCUAGUCGAAAGUGUUUUUAUGUUAAAUACCUGAUAAAAGCUCAAGUCAAAAACAUUUUUAACUAAAAUGUACGCCCACAUUUUUCUGAAAAAUUGGAUUAUUUCCUAUGACAUGCUUUUAUGUAAAAUACUUAAUAAGACUUCAAGUUAAAAAAUAUUUUUAAUUAAAAGACACCUUCACAUUUGUAAGGAAAUCCCGGUUAUUUCUUACCAAAUAUUUUUAUGUAAAAUACUUAAUAAGAGUUCUAGUCGAAAGUAUUUUUAUGUAAAAUACUGAAUAAGAGUCCAAGUGGAAAGUGUCUUUAUUUAAAAUACUUUGUAAGAAUCUGUUUUUAUGUAAAAUACUUAAUGAAAGUUCAAGUCAAAAAUAUUUUAAAUUAAAACAUAUGUUCACAUUUCUAUGAAAAAUCUGAUUAUUUCUUAUUAUGUGCUUCUAUGUAGACUACUUAAUAAAAUACACAUUCAUGUUUUUAUGAAAAUCUCAUUUUUAUUUUUAAGGAAAUCUCGGUUAUUUCUUAUUGAAUGUUUUUAUAUAAAAUACAUAAUAAGAGCCAUAGUCGGAAGUGUUUGAUGCCCGAAAAAUAGACACCUGUGUCAGUGUUUUUAUGUAAAAUAUUUAAUAAGAAUCCAAGUUCAAAGUUUUUUUAUGUAAAAUACUUAAUAAAAGUCCAAGUUGAAAACACAUUUUAUUAAAAUAUAUGUUCGCAUUUUAAUGGAAAAUCCGAUAAUUUAUUAUUAUGUGCUUUUGUGUAAAAUAAUGAAUUAGAAUCCAAGUCUGAAAUAUUUAAAUAAAAAUUAUGUUCACGUUUUUAUGGAAAAUCCGAUUAUUUCUUAUUACGUGCUUUUACGUAAAAUAUUGACUAAUAGUCCAAGCCAAAAAUAUUUUCACAUUCAUGCUUUUCCGGAAAUCCCAUUUUCAUUUUUACGGAAAUGCCGAUUAUUUUUAGAUAUUUUUAUGUAAAAUACUUAAUAAGAGUGCUAGCUGAAAGCAUUUUUAUGUAAAAUACCUAAUAAGAGUCCAAGUCCAAAGGGUUUUUAUGGCCCUAGCAAAAAAGGGUUUUUAUGUAAAAUUCUUAAUAAAAACCUGUUUUUAUGUAAAAUACUUAAUAAAAUUCCCAAGACAAAAAUAUUUUUAAUUAAAAUAUACGUUUGUGUUUUUAUGCGAAACCGGAUUAUUUCUUAUUAUUUGCUUUCAUGUAAAUUACUUUAUAAGAAUGAGGUCGAAUAUAUUUUCACUUAAAAUAUACUUUCACAUUUUUAUAGAAACCCCAUUUUCAUUUUUAUGGAAAUCCUUGUUAUUUAUUAUUAAUUAUUUUUAUGUAAAAUACUUAUAAAAGUCUGUUUUUAUAUAAAAUACUUAGUAAAAGUCCAAAUCAUACAGGUUUGCUUUUUCUUGAUUUUUUCUACGAAUUUUUUUCAAUUUUUUCUGAUUUUUGAAGAGGGCUCUCCAAGGCCUUUUUCUUGGUUUGCUAGAAGAUCUUAUCUGCCUAGGAUCUUCCAGCAAUAGAUUGUAUCAUAUUGAUACAUUUGAAUUCAAAGUGGUAGAAAAGAUAGGAAAUCCAAAAAAAAACAUAUCUACUUUGUAUUUUUCCAGGAUAGUUCUUUCUUGAAAAUGGGUUAACUAUCCCUGAAAACUAGAGACUGGCUUUAGCCGAUGGCCUCAAACUCCAUAAACUACUCCAUUCCUAUGGCAUCCAUACAGAUCCAAUGUUCUUUAAUUUGUUUAUAAUGUUACACAAGGAUUCCAAGCAGCGAAGAGAAACAAAAUAAUGCUUUGGUUUUAGCCAUUUGUGACAUUGAAGCAUUAAAUAAUCUUUAAGAUUUUCUUUUAGCAGCUUCAAUCAAUGUAUUUUGGUUCUACUUUAGUUUUCUCAUGAAUAAGGCACCAACCAUGAUCAUGUACCAUUACAUAAUCGGCUUCUUAGUUUGCUUUAUUUAUAAAUAUAUGCUAACAUACUUGUGACAAUGAUAUGAGUUGUUUGAUAUAAUAUACUAUCUUUAAACUAUUUACUUAAAAAAAUAUUAUAAUAUUUAAUUAUAAAUAAUAUAAAAAAAUAGAUCACAUCUAAUGGCUUGAAUAAAUAAUCAAUAUAAAGCCUUCCAUUAUUCAAUGUCAACCAUAAAUGCUAAUACAGUUUCAUAAGAAUAUUACAUUUACUUCUCUCAAACCCAAAAUUAAUAAUAAAAUAUUCAAAUUAAAGAUUCAUUCCAUUCACCAUUAAUAUAUACCAUUCAAAACUUAAAAUUCAUAAAGUUAUGCAUGAUGCCAAACCCUAACUUAUGCAUUAAGUCAAUACGACAAUAAAUAGUAAAAUCAAUAAGCAUCAUCUAUACUAUUAAAAAUACCUAGAAACUAUAAUUUAUAUUUUUAUUUAACCUAACCAUCACGAAGCCAUGUUUACUACAAUCUAAUGUUUAAAAUCUAAAACCAUUUACUUUUAAAAUGUAUGAAAUAUAAUUCAUACAGUGAAAAUUUUCAUUUACACACUCCAUAGUACAUUCUACUAUUCGAACAUAAAUUAAAAACCAUCUAAAUAUACAGAGUUUCGAUUUCUAUAUAUUUCUCAUAUUUUAGUUCUAAGUUCAAUAGUUUAGAUCUCCAAAAACAGUCCAGAGUGAAGAACUAUCAUUCCACAUCCAUCUUCCUCCACAAAACAAACAUACCCAGCGCUUGUUUGUCGAUGGCGAGUCAAACAAACAGUACUUGCGCCGCCGCCUAACGGGAGCAAGACAGACGGUCAAAGUUGGGAUCAGCUUGCAACCGAGGAAGCAUCAAAUGGAGGUAAAAAGGCAAUCUUAACACAGCUCAUUACAUAACAAAAUAAAAUAUAAGGUCCUAUUGAGCACACAUUGAUGUCUUAUUUAAAUUUGAUGACCUAUCUCAGUGGAAACUAUAGGACAUUGAUUGCUCCACAUUGCACAAGACUACAAGCAAAAUCGGUCCCCUGCAAGGAGCUAUUCUGAUAAGAGCUGUUUUGGAAACUCAUGCAGCAGCAUCAACUUUCUGAGCUUUAUUAGAUUGCCUGUGGGCAGAAUCUGUUUGGCGAGAACGCUUGCCACCAAAGUGCUUCCCACCUCUAAUGCUUUUACCGCCUCUGUCGCAAUGACAUUACAUCUGAUUAAGCUUUUUUUAAGGUGUAGUAGCUCACUAUAAAGGAAUUUAUCAAGGUGCAUUACCUUCCUUUGCAGCCUUUAUUUUCCCUGACUCUAUCCUGGUUACCACGAAGCAAAUUCCAGUACUCCUUUUCAGCCUCACCUGAAACCAAAGCAUCAAAAGAAACCAGUUUGAAAUGCAUAUUUGGAAUAAUCUGGUUUCAAUAGUUUGGAUUUUUCUAAAGAAAAAAUAAGCUUUUUAAUGUUCGAAUAUUUCUAAUUGCAAAAGAUCAUUGUCAUUAUUCUCUUGUUGUAUAUAUCCUUUUUCAACAACAUUCUAUAUCUAGUACAUCAAUAUGAACAGUUCAUAUCAGGCAUUAUGAAAAAAGCCAAAAUUAAAUCCAGCAUGGAACACAUUCAAGAUUUUUUUUUUUCAAAAGAAAAAAUUACAGGAUUUUUAAUGUUUCAAUAUAUCCUUUUUCAACAACAUUCUGUCUAANNNNNNNNNNNNNNNNNNNCCCAUUUUUGCAUUGCUGUUUUAUAAUGGAGUCACAAUUUCUUGGCCAUAUCAGUAAGCACACAUCAAGAUUGAUGCCUGAAUAGCUUCUAUACCUGGGUGCCAGCAAAUCUAAAGACCCAAACCCCAUCCCUCUGGAAGUUACACAGGCAUCAAUAUUUAUGAAAACGUCCAGCAACAUUGGAAAAAAGGCACAGUCAGAAUUCAUGAGAAAGAUUUAGUCUAAUUAUGAUUUUAUAGUUCUAGAAUAAUGAAGGAGAAAACUUAUGAAAAGAAUUGUGAAGCACAGGGCAAAGUAAACUGUAUACCACUCAGGGCUUCCAAGGUAACAAUAUAAUUUUUCACGAUCAAGCCGCCCUCAUCAGCAAGCACUGCUACUGCACGAGCUUUUGUAGCUGCAUCAGGAUCCUCAAAACGAAUGUAUCCUGAUUCUUCUCCCAUUCUAUAAUCAACAAACUUCAUAAACAAAAGAAUCAGAUAAAGUUUACAGAAACCAAGAAAAUAAAAAUUUAUACAGGAAAACAUGAAAUUCUAGGAAAUAUACAAAAGCAAAAAUAUUUCCCAAGUACACCAAAUAAACUGGAUCCUACAAAUACCCCUCUUCCUAGAACAAAGCACAUAGAUUGGGAUCUCAGCUUGUGUUAUGGUUCGUGUAAGUUCAGCUCUCCUGGGUAUACCAAUUUAAGAAAGACUCCAAGCUCACAAAGUAUCCCGAUCCCAAUCCUAUUCUGUUUCCAACUCUCUAUACCCAAUUUACCGGUAUAUUUCCUAUGCCUCCAGAUGAAACCCAUGUGAUUGGAUAUGAUAGGCACUCAUAAGAGUCUUUGCAUCCACUUCUUAACCUUGCCGACACAAAUUACCUACCCAGUGCGCAAGAGUCCUACCACUAUAAGGCCUAGGAAGGGUCAGAUAUAUGCAGCCUUAUCCCAUAUGUAGAAAGACUAGUUUGUGUUUCGAACUAAUGAACCCAUGACACCCAGGCUACAAAUUCCCUACCCAAUUCCCUUUUGAAUGCCUCUGCAGUUCUCUCUCUCUCUUGGUUCCAUCAACUCAAUACCAUCAACACAUCUCAAAAUUUUACCAAAAUAUUGACCAAGCCAGACCCUGCACCGUAACCUAACCACGUUUAUUAUCCAACAUAUAUGCAUUUUAGAACAUGCUAGAGCUGGUUCGCUGGCGAGGGAAGCUUCAUCAGCUAGUUUUGACUUCUGAUAAUCUAUGUACUAAUUAUUUAUUCAUCUUCACUAUUUAAUGCUAUGCAUUAAUGAUAGAUUAGGAUUGAGUUUAUCCUCUAUUUGAUUUUUAUUAUUUAACUGAACACAAUAUUUUGACAUGUAUGGUGCAUGACUAUUGCUAAAGGAAUUCUUGAGAAAUGGCUACAAGUCCAAAAUAUUUGUUUUCUAUUAAAUUUAUUUUUUAUAUUUCCGUAAAUUGAUUGACCACUUCUUUUAGUGCCUCUUUCUCAAACAUUUUCUGAAUAUAGAUGGAAUCAUAAAGGUGCAUGUACCAAAAAUUGGAAUGCCUCUAUUAGUUCUUGGAUUUUGCAUAAAAAGAAAUUAGUGCAUUUGUGGCAAAAGGUCCACCAAACAUAAGAGUUAGUUUAAGGUCUUAUGAAUCAUAAUUUUUCAAUUCUUUGGAGAAAGUUCAUAGAUAUUAUCUUCCUUAUAUCAUAGAGAGAGUUAAUAAUCCUUUUAAUUCAAUAGUUCCAUUGGCAUCCAUCUCCCUCAAAAAUAGGUCCACAUGCAGUGCAGGGGGAGCACGUUUAUAAAUUUUCUUAUGUAAAUAAUUAAAAAGAAGUUAUUUUAGCUCUUGCUAAGCAAUACAACAUCUUUAUGUCUUUAUCAUUAAUAUAUACACUGAUGAGAGAGAGACACACAAAAAGAAGGAAUAUUAUAGCCAUGUCGCUAUAUUUAGACAUAGUCGAUAAACCAGGUCAGUCAAAUAAAUUUGGUUGGUUGAAUCAGUUUAGAUUGGUAGCAACAAUGAUUUUGGCAAAUUAUCUAAUCAACUAGGUAAAAAACA
rnacentral:lncRNA from 1 species